ACUCCACUACUCCUCUCCCCUCUUCUCCCUUUCGUUCUGGUACGCUUCCUCUCCUACUUCUAACUAGCUCUGCUACCUUUCCUAAUUAAUAAAACUGUUCUUCUCGACUUGCCUAAUAUAGAUAUAAAAGUUUCAGCUCGGUUGCACUUCACCUGGUAGCUGUGCGCUGUUGGUGCCGCUUCCUCGCAACACCUCUUCUUCUUCCUUUCCUCUCCUCUCCUCUCCCUUCCGUCCUGGUAUGCUUCCUCUCCUGCUUCUAACUAGCUCUGCUACCUUUCCUAAUUAAUAAAACUGUUCUUUUCGACUUGCCUAAUAUAGACAUAAAAGUUUCAGCUCGGUUGCACUUCACCCGGUAGCUGUGCGUUGUUGGUGCCGCUUCCUCGCAACACCUCNNNNNNNNNNNNNNNNNNNNNNNNNNNNNNNNNNNNNNNNNNNNNNNNNNNNNNNNNNNNNNNNNNNNNNNNNNNNNNNNNNNNNNNNNNNNNNNNNNNNNNNNNNNNNNNNNNNNNNNNNNNNNNNNNNNNNNNNNNNNNNNNNNNNNNNNNNNNNNNNNNNNNNNNNNNNNNNNNNNNNNNNNNNNNNNNNNNNNNNNNNNNNNNNNNNNNNNNNNNNNNNNNNNNNNNNNNNNNNNNNNNNNNNNNNNNNNNNNNNNNNNNNNNNNNNNNNNNNNNNNNNNNNNNNNNNNNNNNNNNNNNNNNNNNNNNNNNNNNNNNNNNNNNNNNNNNNNNNNNNNNNNNNNNNNNNNNNNNNNNNNNNNNNNNNNNNNNNNNNNNNNNNNNNNNNNNNNNNNNNNNNNNNNNNNNNNNNNNNNNNNNNNNNNNNNNNNNNNNNNNNNNNNNNNNNNNNNNNNNNNNNNNNNNNNNNNNNNNNNNNNNNNNNNNNNNNNNNNNNNNNNNNNNNNNNNNNNNNNNNNNNNNNNNNNNNNNNNNNNNNNNNNNNNNNNNNNNNNNNNNNNNNNNNNNNNNNNNNNNNNNNNNNNNNNNNNNNNNNNNNNNNNNNNNNNNNNNNNNNNNNNNNNNNNNNNNNNNNNNNNNNNNNNNNNNNNNNNNNNNNNNNNNNNNNNNNNNNNNNNNNNNNNNNNNNNNNNNNNNNNNNNNNNNNNNNNNNNNNNNNNNNNNNNNNNNNNNNNNNNNNNNNNNNNNNNNNNNNNNNNNNNNNNNNNNNNNNNNNNNNNNNNNNNNNNNNNNNNNNNNNNNNNNNNNNNNNNNNNNNNNNNNNNNNNNNNNNNAAAAAGCUAGCUCUGCUCCCUUUCCUAAUUAAUAAAACUGUUCUUCUUGACUUGCCUAAUAUAGAUAUAAAAGUUUUAGCUCGGUUGCACUUCACCUGGUAUUGGUGCCGCUUCCUCGCAACACCUCUUCUUCCUCUCACAAUUCUCUUGAGAUUUCUCUCGUGGACACACACCAUGAAGAAACUCAAAGAAAACACACACACACACACACACACACACACACACACACACACACACACACACACACAUGCAUUGAUGCAUAUGCCAGGAAGAAAGCCAACUAGCUUUGCCAAGAGGCUCACCUCCUUGGUCACAGGGGCGGGGCCCUGAGAUUUUGGACCGGACCAUAUACCUAUGAAUAUUAAGAUGGGCCUGAGAAAAAGAAGAAACCCAACAACUUCUAUUCAUUCGCUGGUCAUGGGAGUGCAUGUAGGCAGUGGUGUGUUAAAACAUGUUGUUGGGUUUCUUCUUUUCAUCACCACGCUCAGAUUAAUGAAUGCAAGUUUAUGCUGCAUAUAUAUACUCAUUUUUGGUCUUACAUGACUUUGCUAUUCGCCGGCGAGUUUUUGUGUGCGUGUCUUGGUGUUGGUUGUGUGCAUCUUAGCUAUGCAGAGGCCGGGUGUGUGCUCAUUGUGUUUGUAUCCUCUUGAUGCUUCAUCUUGAGUUAAUAAAAUCCACCCUUUGUCGGGAAAAAAAAUAUACUCACUUUUGUUGCUGCAUUUUCGUUGGUAAUGAACACAAGAUAUUUUGUAGUAUGUUUUCAGCCAAAUAUAAGGUAUGUUACCAUUCGUUAGGUUUUCUUCAAAAACAGUUAAUCCACACCACACGUACGACAACAAAUGAAGUAGGCUAGUGUAGUUAUUACUACUCCCUCUGUAUCAAAAUACAAGAUGUUUUUUGGUUUUGCACAGGGCACAAAAAACGUCUUCUAUUUUGUUACGAAGGGAGGAGUAUUUAUCAGGUGUUGUUAGUUACUCCUUCCGUUCCAAAUUACUCGUCGUGGUUUUAGUUCAAGUUUGCUGCCAUAUAUGUUUUUUUUUUUUGCAUAGCCCUCCUAGCUAGCUACCUAUUAGUUUCUUCUGAUAGAUCGAUUCAUGCUCGGCUUUUGCAGCUGCUGGUUACAAGAAGAUGAAAAUGGUUGUGUCCGUUGUGCUGCUCACCAGCUGGCUCUUAUCCAUCUAAAAGAAAAAGCUGGCUCUUAUCAGUGGGCCUACCCUCCCAAGCCCGUGAAAUCAAAGACCUUCCAUUCCCCUCCCAUCUUAUUGGCCCUUGGAUCAGUCUCAAACAAGUACUCCCUCCGUCCGAAAAUACUUGUCGUAAAAAUGACUAAAAAUAGAUAUAUUUAACAUUAAAAUAUUCGACUUACCACCUAAGCCUAUGCUCCACGGGAUAUUUUCCGUGAAUCGCUUCCAACUUACGGCACAGGAAAGGAGGCAGGGAACGAGGCAAACUACAUGGUCGGCAUGUCGACGUGCUACCCCAAGCCGGGAUCCACCAAGGUGCUGACCAUCUUCUCCAACUACAGCAGCGACUACCAGGAGUUUCUUUUUGUACAAAAAAGGGGAUGAGUAUUUUAUCCGGUUUCUGAAAAUGAAGUACCUUUUGAACCGUGCAUCUCAAUGCGGACUGUAUCACCAUUGUGUUCUCCCCGUCGAGAUUUUAGGAACAAAUCCCAUUAAACUCCAUGGGGUUCUAACUUGAGCUCCCUUGCUCCUAGGACAUCAUCUUUUUUUUUUUAAACGAGGCAAAAGACUUGCCAUUUCAUUAAUCAAGGGAGAAGGUUUUAAACAGACCCGCAGCAUUACAAUACUCAAGUCAAGUGCCUGGCACCCGCCAAAGCCCAAAGCCACACCUCAUACUUGAUCUUGUUGAUGAUGACCACCGAUGGAACCGCCACGUUGCGGAAGACUCGAGCGUUUCUCUCGGACCAAACCUCCCAAGAGAUGAGCAACAUCAGUGAUGCAAGGGCUUUGGGAGAGCCGAGACGAAUCUGAAGGUUGUCGUUCCACCAUCCUUUGACCGAAGCGCUCCUAGGACAUCAUCGUAGGGGUGAAUCGGAGCGGAGCGGAGAGAGCGUACCGGACCGGCGGACAUACGAAUCGGAGCAGGAAGGUGGCAGCGGGAGUAGACACGGUUGAGACGGCUAACGGUGACGGCGACGGCGACAAGGCAAGAGGAGGAGGAGAGGAAUGGAGGAGCAGGGAUGGGGAAAAUCGGCCGGUCUUGGUUGGUGCUCUGGGCUGGAUGGGCCUCGACUGUUGUGGUGGGCUUCGACGGCACCCCGCGAACUCCUUCCUCUUGUUUCGGCCCACUGCUAAAAUAAAAGGAAAUCUUCUUCAAAGCACGGGCGCCUCUUCUCUCUCUCUCUAAAAAAAGGAUGCCUUUUGCAAAAGUUACUACAAAAGCUACUCGUGAAUAAAUUGCAUGAGCCAUGUGCACCAGUUGUCUCCAUUAGAGGUUUUCUUUUCCUUGCGGGAGAGCCGCCCGCACGUGUUUAACUUUUUGGAUUCGGUUUUCGAAAAAUGAAAUGUCUCGAACCACGCAUCCAAAUUGCGAAUCAUUAACACCGUUGCCUUCUUCCCCAUCAAGAUGUUAGGAACUAGAUUCCCAUCUUGAUAAGUUUAGAUGGGAUUUUUCGCCCCCACCCUAGAUUUGUGUUGUGGGUUGUGGCUGGCAAAAUUAGGACCAUGCAAUGCACAAUGACAGACCCAUACAUCUCUGGUCUCUCUUUCUAGCUCGGUCAGUUAAUCUUGAGCAAAUGUCUCCUGGAGCAAACAAAACUUGGCAGGAAUUGCUGCAAAGUGUGCACUGAAUAGCAAAACCACCAGGAUCAACUCCAGAGGCAUUGCAGUAUCGAUCUAGGCCCUAUGUCUAUGUAUGAAUGGCAUAUUAAUCAAUCAUGCUAGCUGUCAACAUGAUGGAUUUACACCAACAGAAAUUAGGCUCAGAUACACUGAAAAAACUAUGUAUAUAUAUAUGCAGCUCAGCACAUGCGUGUUUUCGACGGAAAAGCAGCUACAGAAACUAGAAACAUGUAUGUAUAUAUGUGCACAUCAUCAUGCCCCCAGAUUGCUUACCCCAGACAAGAGCAAAUUCUCAAUCACAAGCAACAUACUCAAUAAACAAAUUAUUAAUGGCAGGAAGGAAUGCAGCAAACUGGGCAGAGGCAAGUCCAAACAUCACUUGUUAUUAUUAUUAGUAGUACAUAAUAAAGCGAAAGUGCCGCAACAGAAACCGUUUGCAAAACAAAAAACAAGCAUGAGUUACUACAAUCCUUAGCUUUGUGAUCCAUAGCCACAUCAAGAUCCUGGUUGCUACCUUUCCCUUGGAGCAGCAACAGACGGCUUCCAUGAAGAUCAUCAAUCAAUCACGGGACAGCUGAGCCUUUGGCUUCUUGGGCACGGUCCGAUACCCAGCCUUGGUGGGCUUCCCCCAGGGCGACACCGAGGGCCUGCCACCCUUGGUGCGCCCCUCGCCUCCUCCAUGGGGAUGGUCCACCGGGUUCAUUGCGACACCACGGACGACCGGGCGCCUGCCCAGCCACCGGCUAUGCCCCGCCUUCCUCAGCUUCCGCGCGCCAUGGGUGGCAUUGGAGACGACGCCGAUGGUGGCCCGGCACCGCGAGUCUAUCAGCUUCUCGACGCCCGACGGCAGCCGCACAAGGCACUGCAUGGCCGACUCCUUGACCACCUUGGCGUAGGCUCCGGCGGCCCGCACGAGCUUCGCCCCCUGGCCAUGACGCAGCUCGAUGCUGUGCACCCAUGUGCCCAUGCGGAUGUCAGACAACGGCAUGCAGUUUCCCACCUUGGAAUUGAGGUCCAGUAGGUCGGCAGGCAUGAGCGGCGCUGCUGUGGUGACCGCCGCAUCCUUUGCUGCUUGAUCAUCAGCGCCCUCCUCUUCGGCUUCUUGGCUGGCCUUGCGGAACAGCUCUUGGAACCGAAGGAAAGAAUCAGCAUUGUGGGCAGGCCGCAUCAAGGAGCCGGUCGUGGAAGGUUUGGAGGAGUCGCUGUUCACCACCAUGCUGCCCGGUUCCAUUUGAUGGCUGGCUAUGAUGUAAUUGACAGGCGCACGCUCGGCCUUGUAUGCUGCAUCCUUUUGAGGCACCCCUUCAAUCCAUCGGAGAAGAGCGAUCCGAGAAGAGCGGUUAGGGUCGUACUCAAUCCUUUCCACAAUGCCAACGGAGCAAGUGUUCCUUUUGAGGUCAAUGUCCCUAAGCGAUCGCUUGGAUCCACCCCCUCGGUGAAAAGAAGUGAUCCGCCCGGAAGAGUUCCUCCCGGCGGUGACGGUCUUGCCGGUCAGGGCCUUGGCCAAGGUCUUGAACUUGUGCAUCUGCAGGCGUAAGAAUCGCCAAAGAGACAGUAAGCUUCGAGGACUAACAGCAUGUAUUAGCAGCCAGCAAGUAGAUAGGCUUCCAUAAAUCAAGGCCCUAAAGGAUGAACGAACUAACCACAAAGAAUCAACAGAAAGUAGCGAGAUACAAUUUCUAUCGAUCUUAAGACCACCUAGGUUUACUGAUUAAAAGAAACACCAUGGUCAUGUUAUUCGCACAGAUCCAGAGCAAAAGAUCAAGCAGCUUAGGUUCGAACCCGAACCAGGACACGAGCUAGUACUGGAUUCGAUUAUGGCCCAAACCAAUAAGAUUGGCGGCAAGAUUUAAAAGAGAAGCUCCAAACUUUAAAUUCUUGUUAUUCAGCAACGUUCAGAUUGUCAGGAAGAGAAACACUAGAUUAACAAUUGCUGAAUUCAGCAGGCAAAACAUUUAAAUUGCUUCAAUAUGAGUCCAGAGAACCAAUCCGGAUCCAUCACACCCGUCAACAAGGUGGAUCCAGGGCAGCCAAUCGGCCUCCAUUAACACCUGCCUAGGGUUUCCCUCCACGAUCUAGGCCAGCCGAACUGGAUGGAUAGAUAAAACAAGCAAGAUCCGCGGAAUGCGCAUCCGCGCGCGCGGCCGUCGGUGGCGCGGGAGGAUGGGGAGGGAGAAAAGAGGAGAGGAGGAGGUACCUGGCUGCCGGACGGAGGGAUCGGAGCGGGGGCGACGGCGACGGCGGCGGCGGCGGCGGCGCGGGGGGGAGGAGGAGGAGGAGGAGGAGAGAAAGCAGGCGCGUGGUGCGACGAGUGCGACUGUGUACGCGUGCGUGUGGUGGGCUGGGCCUCCUCGUUCUAUGCUAGAUGGGCUUCGGCUUCGGCCAACUCUUUCUUCAUCUCUCGUUCUGGCCCGUCUACCACCGAAAUUUCUUCUUCUCAAAAAAAAAAUCCACCGAAAUUUCCAUUCGUAUGUUAAAAAAACCCACCGAAAUAUUGACAAAAAUUUUAAGUGUUUGCAAAAGGGGAAAAGCUUGGCUACAACCGGCGGAUCACACGCGGGCGUCCGCCGCCUCAUCCCUGUGACACGUGUCUUGCGGGGGGCUCACCUGACAUUAUCUUUUAUGGUUUUGCAACUGGGCCCUUGUUGCACUUUUCCCACUGCAAUAACUCGUAUGUUCCGGGAUGGGCGCAACAUCUGGAUUUCCCCAUAGUCAUUUCUUUUGUAUAUAUCGCAGGAAAUCACUGGUUUUGUUUUGUUGAUUGGCUUUCUUUUUUUCUUUUCUUGCGAAAACCGGCUUCCAAGUGCUCCCUCCGGUCUUUUUUUUUUUACUUCGCAUAUACAAGAUUUAUGUAAAGUCAAACUUUGAUAAGUUUGACCCACUUUAUAAGAAAAACAUUCAGAAUAUCAUCGUUAGUAUGCUUCGUGAAUUUAUUUUCAUAAUUUUUUUUAAAUUUCACUAUUGUUGAUGUUGAUAUUUUUCGUGUAAAUAUGGUCAAAGUAUACAAAGUUUGGCUUCAGACAAUUUGUAUACGCGGAGCGAAAGAACCCACAAGAAGUGCUACUACUAAGGACCAGCACUGCCCAUGUUGGCUUGCUUGUAUGGCUAGAUUGUCUUUGACGUUUUGAUUGUUUUGGAAAACCUCUGUUUGCAUUUGUACCAUUUCUCUUAACCGGCAUACUCCCUUUGCAAAGACCGACCCCGAUGUGGUUGAGGACGGUCUCGAGGGUGCGGCAGGGCACGCCCCACUAGUCACGCCGCCCGCCAGCGUUGUGGCGUCCGCGGGGGAUGAUGCCGUUGGAGGAGGCGACCUGGUCUUCGCGGCGGCGCUCGAAGUACAUCGUCCAUAUCGUGUGGCUGUCGGCGGCGUAUCUCGGCUUGUUCCGCUGCGCCUCCGUCAGCGACGAGCGGAUGCGGGCGAUCUCGGCCCGCCGUGCAGCCCCUUCGGGCACCGGUUGCACCGGGACGCCGCCGGUGCUCAACUUCCACGACCCCGGCACACGCAUGUCCGGGGGCGCCGGAUAAUCGGCCUCGUAGAUGAGGCGUGCCUCCGGCUCUUAGAGAUAGCGGUGAUCGAAGCCGUUCGCCACUGCGCCAUCGCCUGGGUACCUCUCAACCAUUGCUCGUCGGCGGGAAGAGGGGAUUGUGUUGCUUUGUGUGGCGAGGCGAUGUGAGGCAGCUGCCCGACGAGGAGAUCUUCUUUUAUAGCCGCAGCGGGGCGGUGAGAGCCUGCAUGCCGGGCGACGCGUGGCGGGAGCGGGCGGACGCGUCUCGGUGGCGACUUCACUGCGCCGCCCGUGAGGCAUCAGUGGAGGCUGGCCGGCGACAGCGCGGCAGCCUUGGCAUUGAUUUCCGCGAGAACCGAGGCGAUGGGGACGACGAAGCGGCAUCUCGCUGACUCGGCGGGCACAUCCCUGUUCGUGCCAAAAACACGUCCCGGCACCCCAGGCGCCCCCAGCGCGCCGGGUUUGGCCUGGGUCCGCCGACGCCAGUCUCAGCCCAAACCGGCGAAAAACGGGUUCCUAGGGCAUGACUGGGCCGAUUUUUGGCCGCCAGCGUCAAAAGAAAAAACGCCUGGGAAGGCCCAUUGGGGGCGCGGCUGGAGAUUCUCCAAGGACCAACAGUGCCCAUGUUGGCUUGCCAGUAUGGCUAGAUUGUCUUUGACGUUUUGAUUGGUUUGGAAACCUCUUUUUGCAUUUGUACCAUUUCUCUCAACCGGCAUACUCCCUUGGCAGAGAAAUAUAAGAGCGUAUAUUUCGCACGGAGGUAGAAAUAUGUAAGAACGUAGACGCUCUUAUACUUCUUACGGAGGGAGUAACUAUUAUUCCUAGACCAGGCGGGCGGGCAGGCGAGAAAAAAAAUCUAACUUGUGCAUGUAUCGGUGCAGGUGCAGCAAUGGAUGUCGUGCGGCUGGGUGGGAUCACGUGUUUGACACAUGCAGGCCAUGUCGACGCCAAUGCUAUACUUGUUCGGUUGUGCAAUCACGUGAAAUGUUUGUACUUUAUUUGAAUUAUUAUGUUUGCAAAACGACGGCAAACCCACCGCACAGUUGAAAAUGGGUCCACGUGUUGGACGCAUUGUCGACCCAAACAAAAAACAUGACAGAUGACGAGAGGGUGGCCGGCCCAAACCGGGCAAUGCGCGCGUCCGUUUGAAUGGGCGCGUUGAAGUUCCAUAAGAGCAACUCUAGCAGACCCCGCAUCCCGCCGGCCCGCAAAACGCGUUUGCAGUUCGCGCAAAACAGCUUUUGCGGGUCGGCUUGGGCUGGCACAGAUGCAGACCCCCCAAACGGAUCCGUAAAAAAGCAUAUUCACGGAAUAUACCUUUUUAUGGGUCGGCUUUGCGGGGUCGAUCCCCGGUGGCGGCGGCGACGGGGGGCGGCUCUUCUCGCCGGAUCCGGAGGGGCCGUGCAGCGGCUCGGCGCGGGAAGGUGUGGGGCGGCUCCGGGGCGUGAUUCCCCCCCGCAGAUAUGGCCGGAAUCGCCGGCGGUGGGCGGGCGGAAGAAAAGGGCGGGCGGCGGCGGAAGGAGGGGGAAAGCGCGCGGGCUGAAAUGUCCCUCCCGCCAACUGCUUCUCUCCGAUGCAGGGCACCGCAGCCGCGAGGGGGAAACCCACGUUUUCCCGGGUUGUGGCGGAGAAUUUGCCGCGUCCCCUAAAAUUUUUUGCGGAGCGGGGCGGGAUGCGGGGUCUAGUCGGGCAGGCUUUACAGCCCUUAUCCGCAUUUUGGCGGUUAUUUUCCGGGUCGAGGCGGAUGUGGGGUCUGCUAGAGUUUCUUUAAGAAAAAGCAUAUGUAUAUAUAUGGUGGAUCCAUGCCGUUGCAAAUAUUAUUUUUCUCCUUGGUUCGUCGAGAUGAGUGAUGACAAUAUGGAACAUGGAUGAAUAUGCGUGCGUGUGUGCAUGUCAACCACACCACACAAAGUGCAUACUCCCUCCGGACCGUGAAUAGGUGUAUAUCUAGCUUUUGUUUAAAAUUAAAAUUUUAAAAUUUUGACCAGCUUUAUAGAAAAAAGAGCAGUACCAUUUUAUGGGAUCAAAUUAAUACAUUAUGAAACUACAUUUCAAAACGAAACUAGUGAUACUAAUACAGUGCCAUAAGCGUUGUUACAUUUUCUCCAUAAAAUUGGCCAAAGUUUUAAAACUUUGACUUAAGACAGAAUUUAAAUAUACACUUAUUUCGUGGGCGGAGGGAGUACACGGCUAGAAAGGAAAGGAGCUCACGCUCACGCGGAUGGAGUACUGCUUACAUAACCAUUUUGGGAAAAGCCUCCACAAAACGAAAAUGCCAAGCGGAGACCGAGCUCCAUGGCGGCGUUUAUUUGGAAACUUCAAAAAUCCAAACUUUUUCAGUUUCAAGAAAAUCCUGAAAAAUAAACACACAUACGUACACCUGGAGACAUAACGUACAUGUGUGUAGAUGUUCAGCUCGAAAUAUAAAAAAUGUGAGCUACACGAAAUAAAUACACCGGCUAGCAUCCACCGGGUCUCGUGUCAUUUCAGCCACACGCUCUUCCUCCUCCGGCGUUUCUUGCCUCCAAGCAACCACCACCGGAGAUCUCUUCCCAGCUCUUUUGUCGGCUUCCCGCCGUGCGUGAGGCCUCCACGCAUCCCCCACUCCCCCCCUCCCCCCUCGCCGGAUUCUUUUCCUUGCACGCCCAGCCUCCCUCUCUCCCUCGCGCUAUCCUCCACCACCGCCAGAGGUACUGUCCGUACGAGUGGAGGAGGAGGGGGAGAGCACGCGCCGGCGGCUACGGAGUAAAGAAAGUGCCUGCCGUCCAUGGCCGCCGCCGCCGCCCCGGUGGCCCCCGGGAACGGGCGCCUCGGCCGGCCGCGGGCGCCCAGGGUGGGGCUGCGCGUGUAUGCGGCGGGGGCGGCGGCGGGGGAGGGGGAGGGGCCGUCGUGCCUCUACGUCGGGCCCAUCGAGACCGCCAGCCAGGAGAUGCUCGAGGCGCUCUACCGCCAGGUAAUUCAGUUCAGUCCCACUCUUAGCUCACCUUCCAUGCCAUCAGACUGCACGCUGCCUCCUCAGCUGCAGCUUCAGUUACAGUUCAUCACGAGCCUGAAGAAAUUUACCGAAAGUCUGCAAUCUUUCUGUAUCUCAUACCGAAAGUCUGCACCUUUUCUAAUUAACAUGUAACUAACUGAAAGUUGCAAUCCUUUUCCAAUUAACAUCCACACUGUACCUUUUGAUGCUGUAAACAAUGUUGCCUGCAGUACAUUAUGUGAGUCAAUCAGGAACCUGAAAUGGACUGAAAGUUGCAGUCUUUUUUCCCUGAUUAACCUUCAUACUGCACCUUUUCCAAUUAACCUGCAACUAACCGGAAGCAGCUGCAAUCCUUUUCCAAUUAACAUUCACACUGUACCUUUUGAUGCUGUGAAGAAUGUUGCCUGCAGUACAUUAUUAUGUAAGCCAAAUUCCUCACCAUGUAUAUAAUCUGCGACCCUUCACUUCAUGGCAGGCCAGGGAUUCCUACUACAGCGGCCAGCCUCUGAUUGUCGACGACAUGUUCGACAAAGUUGAGGUGAACAAAACAAGGCCUAAAACCAGCCAAUUUACAUAUCCACAUUAGCACGCACCACCUGAUCCAAAACCCAUUCGCUGUCGCGUAGUCGCAUCUGCAUCCUAACAGUACAUGUGUCCUUGGCCUUGCUAGCUGAAGCUCCGGGUCUACGGCUCCCCGUCGGUCGUAAAAUACCCCCGCUGCAGCCUCAAGCGACAGUCGGCGUACGCGGACGCCGAGGUAAACCUUUCUGUGAAAAUUCACCCCGUUUCUUCAGGCCAAAUCCACCCGGUGUCCCAUUUACUCACAGGCUCACAAUUCAGUGUUUUGGUUGACAUUUGGGUAUAGGGCAGGAGGACCACUCGAUGUUUAUGGCACUGUCGAGCAUCUGGACGCUGCUGCUCCUGCUCGGCACCUCGGCGUUCCUGGUUCCGAGCUUCUACACUCUGAGCCUGGCGUUCGGCGACGCGUUCGGAGCAAGGUCUCUCUUCUCCGGUGCUAAGUCCCUUGACGGGAUAACGAGGGUGAACCACAUGGUUUUGAUUGGACUAGGCUAUCUGAUUGGCUAUCCGGUUGCAUCCGCGUCGGGUAAGGGGAGUUCUUCAGUAGAUAUUGGUUCUCUGUUAUAUCAGUGGUAUCAUGAUUUUCGUCUUCAGUUUGUGAAAUUGUGUUCUCCACCACGCAUCAUAAAUCAUCUUUUUGUACUUUCAGUUGGUGCAUUGCAAGGCCUGUUGACAAACAAUGUGGUUGCACUAAAAGGCUCUUGCCCAAACUGUGGCGAGCAGGUCAGUUUUGCUUCUAGUGUUAAACGUUGAUGCUAUUUCUUUGCGUACAACAUUUUGGUCAUCUGAGUAAGCAAAGCAUGUUCUUGCUAGGUCUUUGCAUUCGUGAAGACGGAUAAGUCCAUUAAAGCACCCCACAAGGCAGAAUGCCAUGUCUGUGAGUGCCCGUUGGAGUACCGUACUAAAGUCGAGGUAUGUGAAAUACCUGUAAUUUUCAUACAGCUUUUGCAGAAUCAAAAUGUACAGUUUUCAACAAAAAAAAAAUCAAGGAAAUCUGAUUUAUGUUGACAGUAACAAUGCGCGCGAAACAGUGCCGUUGUGUUUUUGUCAAAUUACGGUCUUACUAAAUCUACAUCAAGUUCUUGCACAGUGACAUACUCUGCAGCCCCUUCUCAAUACUUUUUUCACUCACAAGAGUGACAGAUAAGCAUGUUCAGGCGCCUAUCCCACAUCUGGCACGCAGAAUCAGUACACUGUUGCAGGACACACUUGGAUGAAAAUUUCAAAACUGUAACCGAGUCUAAAUUCUGAUCUGGAAGUUUUCGUGAAAUUUCGCAGUUCCGUAUGUAGAUUUUAUUGUAGUGUAAAACAAAGCAUACCAUAUUUCUUCAUUUUUCGACAUUGCUCUGCAGAGAUCUCUGUCUGGACCUAGAAGAAGCUGGGUUUACGGCCGGGUUUAUAUGGUGAAGCAAGGGCAUCCUAGAAAAAGGAGAUGGAUAAAAGACUAGAAACCCCAACGAUAGCUGCUGAAGAAAGAGGUCCAUAUCUGUUAUGGUAGCAGUCUUGUUGCUCUGUAGUGCAUAUAUGCCAUUGCCCAUUGAUGAAACCAAGCAAGCAUUUUGUAAAGCAGUACAUUCUUUCCAGAGAUGUCCGAAAUCUGCAGAUGAACAGAAUUGUUGGCGUAUUAUCUUCACAGAUUUGCUCAGCUAGAAUUUGAUUCUUCUAAUUGACGUGUAAGUGCAUGAAAAAAAUGCUUUAAUUAUGCUUUGCAAUCACUGGGCUCUUCUUAGUGCACUAAGCCACCAACAAUCAUAUUCAAAAGUCAAGCAAAAAUCUCCCAAAAAUACUUUUUUCUACAAAAUGCAUACACCAUGUCAGUAUGUCACAAUGUUUCAGACCCGGAUUAAUUCGAUCCACAGAUUAAGGCGUAAAAAAGGAUAAUUACACUAAUUAAUUAAGCACUUGAGUAACCAAGAUGGGGUACAUAUCAAAGUGAAUGGCAAAAGCAUGGGUGCAUUUUUGUAGAUUCCUGAUCUUUUUGAGUGGUGGUGGAAGUCCAAAGUGCUAAAGGUUCCUUCUCCAAAAAUCAUUGCAAAGGCAAACAGUUGGAACAAACCGGGUGUGUAAUCCUAUGGAUUGCAAUCCACGUAGAAAGAAAUACUUGAGGAUUAGAAUCCUCCAAAAUUCCUCUAGGCACACGCCCCAAAGCUCAACAGUCCUGAUGCCGAGAACAUCGUGCAAUUUGAAGAUCCGACUGCAUGGCUACCAUAUGAAAAAUCUCACCCAAAUUCUUGCCACAGGAUAAAUAACCCAGCAGCUUGCCACAGAAAAAAAAACAAUUAGUCAGGGCAUGAAAACCAUCUUCAGGACAAUGAAAAAAAAAUAGUCAGGGCAUCAUAUCCAUCACAACACUCAGAGAAAUCAUUCGGAGCCUAGUACAAGAAAUAGAUCAGCAAAUUAUCAGAUUAGUGCGAGAGGACGAAAGCUACAAAAUUAAACUAAUCAGGCUUGCAAACAUAAUCCAAAAUUAAACGAAUCAGGAGAUAUGCAAAAUGCUGGGCGGUUCCGGAAGUUUCAGGACAUGCGAAACUGAAAAAAAAAUGGGACCGCACACAAGAAACUUUGCAGCAGUUAAUUUUCUUCAGGAAAGGGGCCAUAUCAGCUCAGAAUAUUGAUCUGCUUCAGUUUGUGAUUUGCGCAAAAAGCCAAAAACACAGCACAGCGAACAGAAUCUGCAUCUAGAAGAAGAAUUGGAGCCAUGCUCUAAACAUAACCACUACACCUCAUAAUUUAUGCCAGGUUACACAAAAAAAAAAUCACCCUUAACACUGCUGCAACUGUAUCCAGAGAACAUGUGCAAAAAAUACUGCACAAGCACAAAAGAUGCAGACUUGUGCAGACUGCAAUGCUGUGUCUCCAGCACAUACGUGUAAGGCUCUCUGUACACAUGUCCUUUCUUCUCCCCUGCUCAUGUUGUUCCUUGUAAUGCUUGGUACAUUUAUGUCUCUGAAAUUCAAAGUUGCCGAGAACGAAAAAAAAAAACAGUUUUGCAGUAAAUUUCAGAGAAAUGAAAGCAUCUUCAGUGGAGCCACCUGAAACCGCCAGGGACUGGUUGACUCGAUUCCAUGCGAGGCCAAGCCAUGGAUACUGGCAGGAGUGAACGGCUCGACCACCUGUCGCUCUCCCGUAGGUGUUUGGCUAGCAUACUGCACAUCUUCAGUUUUUUGCUGCUUCUUCUGUUAAAAUUUGGAUUCAGCUUUGUUUUGGUAGGUCUAGGUCUGUCUUCUGUUCUGGGCACGUUUGAUUUGUACUCCUUGCGUCAUCCUGAUAGCUUCUUCUAUACUGAAUUUCUUCUUACAUAUAGGAAAUGCAUUUGUUGUACAAGCAGAAGGAUACUUUGGCAGGCCUAGGAGAACUAAAGUUUACCAUGUAUCAAACUACACAACUGUGGCUGCUUCUUCACGAAACCGAUACUUUGCAGGGAGCAAUCCUAUGUGUUCUCUAUAUUUCCCUUUCCCUGAAAAGAGAGAGAUAAGCAGCGAAACGGUUUCAGCUUCAAGUGAGUAGCUCAUUGCAUCAACUUUAGACAUAUAAUUCCCAGCCUUGACUAGCUCUCCUUUUUCCAGUAACAUUCUGACGAUAAGAUUUAACAUAUAAGAGUCAGCAGUACAGCCGCUCUUCUCCAUUGAUAAAAAGAGAUCGUCAGCUUCUUCCACUGACCCUUCUUUUAUAAGAUUUUUCAUCAUUAUGGUGUAGGUAAAGACAUUACCUACCAAACCAUUGGCUGAUACUGCAGCAAACAAAUCCUUGGCUUCUUGGUUUCGCUGAACCCUGUAGAAGGCAUCAAUCAUUAUAUUGACAAUUGUAAUAUUGAAUUUCACAUCCAUUGUGCUUAAUUUCUGGAAUAGCAUGAUUGCUUCGCCGCUACAAUUAUUUCUACAAAGUCCACCAAGAACUAUCGAAUAUGUAUCAAUGCACACACUUACUCCAGAUUCAACCAUCUCAUCAAACUUUUCCUUUGCAGCAACAGUUCGUCCAGUUAGAAAUAAUCCAUCCAGUAUGACGUUGUAAUUAAAAGUUGUAGGUUUAAGUCCCUUGCGCAACAUUUCUUUGAACAGAAUCAACCCAUCGUUAAUCCUUUCGUUUUUGCAAUAGCCAUUAAUAAGUAUACCAUACGUAAUAUUAGAAGGUUCUAAGCCAUAUGACAUCAUAUCAUCAAAUAUUUUUGAGGCAUCCUCCAUCUUGCCGACUAGGCAAUAUCCACCGCCCAGUAUAUUAAAUGUGCAAACAUUAGGCUUCAUACCUAUGUGCGCUAUCAAGCCAAGGACAUCCCGUGCUUCUAUUACCCUUCCUUCUGUGCAAAGGUUCUGCAUGAUUGAAUGGAAGAACUUAAUAUCAGGAGGAGGUAUACCUUUGUUCAUCAUUUCAGUAACCAAUUCCUUUGCUUUCACCAAAUCGCCGUGUGUACAAAAACCCUGGAUUAGAGAACCAUAAACAGCUGUGCCCUGUGGUACUCCUGUAUCAAUCAUCUGAUUAAACUUUAUCAUAGCAUCGUCCAACUGACCCUUUUUGCAAAAUGCAUCUAUUACAGUUGAAUACGUGACUGCAUCUGGACUCGCUCCUUGUUUCUGCAUUUCAUUGAAGAUAAGCAUAGCCUUAUCAAGCUUCCCAGAUUUAGCAUAUGCAUUAAUCAGUAUGUUGAAGAUACGACAGUCAGGUAGAAUACAAUCUCUUUCCAUUGAAUUGAAGAGAUUAAUCAUAUCAACUAAGCAUCCUUCGGUGGCAUACCCAUGAAGGAGAAUAGCAUAUGAAACGUUGUCAGGUUUCAGGCCCUUGAUAGCCAUGGUAUCAAAAAUUCCUGCAGCUUCUUUGCUUCUUCCAUGUUUGCAAAGAAAGGUCAUAAACAUGUUGUAAGUAUGCACAUCUGCUGUAACCCUCCGACUUGUCAUCUCUUUGAAUACCCUAACUGCCUCCUUCCAGUGGCCUGAAGAGGAAUAUCCAUGGAUGAGGCUAUUAUAUGUCACAUUAUCAGGUACGACACCAUCAUCAACCAUCUGACCAAGGAAAUACUCUGCCUUGUCCAUUGCUUUGGCCUUGCACAACGCAUCAAUAACCGAGUUAUAUGUCACCAAAUUAGGCGCAACGCCCUGCUGCGCCAUUCCAUGGAACAGAUUGCAUGCCUUGCCUACUUGGCCUUCCUUAAAGAAGCCGUGGAUGACCGUGGUAUAUGCCACCACGUUGGGGGUGCAGCCCAGCUCAGGCAUCCUGUGAAGCAGCACGUCGAGAGCCUCAUCAGCCCGCUUUGCGCGGCAGAGGCCCUUGAGAAGAGUGCAAACUUGAAUGACGCCUGCCUUAAGUCCCGUCCUGAGGAGACGGCCGAAGAAAGCGAACACCAGAUCGAGGCGGUGUGCGCGGCAGCAGCAGUCCAUGAGGAUGCCGUAGGUGCAGGCCGUUGGCUCUGCCACACGUCGGCGGGCACCUUGGGAUAUGCGGCUGAAGAGGGCGACCGCGAGUGCAGGGCCGUUUCUGCAGGUCGCGGACGCCAGAGCACGGGCGAGGGCGGAGAGAAGUUUGUUCAAGGGGCGGUCCUGGACAGGAUUGCCCUGCCGGAGCAAUUCGUCGAACAGGUGGUGUGCGUCCUCCGGGGUGAGGAUGCCAGAGCGCGCACGCUCCGCGGCGGCGGCGAAGGCGGAGUGGGGAUCCCAGCUGCGUGAGGAAUGGGAGGUGGAGGAGGAGUGGCGGGCGCCGAGUCGGAGGCGGAGGCGGAGGCGGAGUGGCGACAUGGGCGUGGUGGAGGAGAAGCGAGGCAUGGCCUUGGUGUGUGGGUCGUGAACGCUGAGCAAGACGAGUGGGAGGAGACGAUGCGGCAGAGGUGCUUUUCCAAGUUGUACUCCCUCCGUAUUUUCUGCACAAACAUCUUAUACUUUGGUAGUAUAUCUUUUUCAGGUACCAUUAAAUUAUGAUAUGAUAUGGAUAUUAAUAUCACACAAUAUGUAAGAAUAGAACUUUAUAUAGACCAAGAAUAUAAAUUUGUUGCGAGCCCUAGAAAAUGUACUAGGAAGCCAUAAAAUGAUUUUUUUAAUCCAUGCCUUUUGGUGUGGGUUGUUGUGCUCUAAGAGAUAGUGGCGUGAUGCCACCACGUACGCUGCCUUGAAAAUGAACUCGGCAUGAUGGUUUUCUCAUGCAGGAUCAAGUGGGAAAUCAAGUGGUGCAGUGUUGUGUGAAAAUAGUCUGGUAGAGAUGAUGAAUCGAGGCAUUGGUGGUGUCAACCUUAAUUGACUAUUUAGACUCCACAAUAAUAUUUUACACAACUUCUUUUUUUUCGAAUGUUAGCAUUACCACUAAAUUCAUUGAACAUGAGAAGAAGAAGGUUGAUCCAAUUUAUGAGGGAAACCGGACCGAAAACCGUACAAACGGCGCCUUUCGGGAAACAACACACACAUCCUCACAAAUCACGGGCCCCUUUGACCGGAUCCAUCUCCAGGACGAUUCCCCCAAGAGGGAACACGACGCCGGAUAGCGCUGCCAUCGUCCGAUCUAAACUAGACCAAAGGUUUCCCCCGGAGCAUGGCAGGAAAGACAAGAUGAGAGCAGCUACAACGAUGCCUCCAACAAGGGAGCGACACCAGAAGGCGCUGCCAUCAGCGACUCCGGCCACAACCGGAUUACGACUUUCGCCGGCCGUCUCACCUACAUAGUUCGAGCUCAGGAUCCGAUCAGCUUGCACACCAAACCACUACCCCUGCCUCCACGGCAAACCACACAUCCCCAUCAAGCUUGACAUGCUUCCAACCUUGCAUCCGCGUCCCCCACUGGACGGAGGAUGCAACCCCGCAGCGGAGCCAUUCUUCUCCCAUCAGAAGGAUGCAACCAAGCAGGACACCAUUCGUCUCCUCAAGGAUGAAACGCCUACGGGCCAUUCAUCUCCCAACGAAGGAUGCAACAACUGCAACAACGCCAUUCCUCUCCCUCUAGCCACCACCAUCUCAUCCUCCCACCUGCAGCAGCGUUGAGCUUUCCGAACCACCAUGAGGAGGAUGCAACACCGAGCAGGGUGCCAUUCAUCUCCCUCCUCACCUCGCGCACGGGUUGUGGCCCGUGGCCACGCCGACCACGCCAUUGACCGAGCCGCCUCCAGACCCCCAGCGACCAGGGUCGGCGGCUGCCGUCUCAAGCUACCUCGGGCCAGCGCGAGCAGGCACACACGAACCCCACUAGCGUCGUGCCUGCCGCGCCCUCCGGCGCUGCUGCCUCCACCGGCCAGACACUGAAGGAAAUAUGCCCUGGAGGCAAUAAUAAAGUUGUUAUUUAUAUUUCCUUAUAUCAUGAUAAAUGUUUAUUAUUCAUGCUAGAAUUGUAUUAACCGGAAACUUAGUACAUGUGUGAAUACAUAGACAAACAGAGUGUCACUAGUAUGCCUCUACUUGACUAGCUCGUUGAAUCAAAGAUGAUUAAGUUUCCUAGCCAUAGACAUGAGUUGUCAUUUGAUUAACGGGAUCACAUCACUAGAGAAUGAUGUGAUUGACUUGACCCAUUUCGUUAGCUUAGCACUUGAUCGUUUAGUAUGUUGCUAUUGCUUUCUUCAAGACUUAUACAUGUUCCUAUGACUAUGAGAUUAUGCAACUCCCGAAUACCGGAGGAACACCUUGUGUGCUAUCAAACGUCACAACAUAACUGAGUGAUUAUAAAGAUGCUCUACAUGUGUCUCCGAAGGUGUUUGUUGAGUUGUCAUAGAUCGAGAUUAGGAUUUGUCACUCCGAUUGUCGGAGAGGUAUCUCUGGGCCCUCUCGGUAAUGCACAUCACUAUAAGCCUUGCAAGCAAUGCAACUAAUGAGUUAGUUGCGGGAUGAUGUAUUACGGAACGAGUAAAGAGACUUGCUGGUAACGAGAUUGAACUAGGUAUUGAGAUACCGACGAUCGAAUCUCAGGCAAGUAACAUACUGAUGACAAAGGGAACAACGUAUGUUGUUAUGCGGUUUGACCGAUAAAGAUCUUCGUAGAAUAUGUGGGAGCCAAUAUGAGCAUCCAGGUUCCGCUAUUGGUUAUUAACCGGAGACGUGUCUCGGUCAUGUCUACAUAGUUCUCAAACCCGUAGGGUCCGCACGCUUAACGUUAGGUGACGACCGACGUUAUGAGUUUAUGUGUUUUGAUGUACAAAAGGUAGUUCGGAGUCCCGGAUGUGAUCACGGACAUGACGAGGAGUCUUGAAAUGGUCGAGACAUAAAGAUCGAUAUAUUGGAUGACUAUGUUUGGACUUCGGAAGUGUUCCGGGCAAGUUCGGACAAAUACCGGAGUACCGGGGGGGGGGGGGUGUUACCGGAACCCCCCGGGGAGUGUAAUGGGCCUAUUGGGCCUUAGUGGAGAAGAGGAGGGGCAGCCAGGGCAGGCCACGCGCCCCCUCCCCCUCUAGUCCGAAUUGGACAAGGAAGGGGGGCGGCGCACCCCUUUUUCCUUCCCCCUCUCUCCUCCUUCCUUCCCUCCUACUCCUACUCUUGGAAGGGUUGGAGUCCUACUCCCGAUGGGAGUAGGACUCCCCUUGGGGCGCUGAUACGUCUCCAACGUAUCUAUAAUUUUUGAUUGCUCCAUGCUACUUUAUCUACUGUUUUAAGCAAUAUUGGGCUUUAUUAUCCACUUUUAUAUUAUUUUUGGGACUAACCUAUUAACCGGAGGCCCUGCCCAGAUUUGCUGUUUUAUGCCUAUUUCAGUGUUUCGAGGAAAAGGAAUAUCAGACGGAGUCAAAACAGAACGAAAUCAACUAGAGAAGUUAUUUUUGGAAGGAAAGCCACCCGAUGGACUUGGAGUGGACAUGAGGGAAGAAGGGAGGUGCCCACGAGGGUGGGGGGCACGCCCCCUGCCUCGUGCCCCCCCCCCUUCGGUCCACCGACGUACCCCUUUCACCCAUAUAUACCUACGUACCCUAAAACUUCCAGAACAGAAGAUAGAUCGGGAGUUUCGCCGCCGCAAGCCUCUGUAGCCACCAAAAACCACUCGGGAGCCCGUUCCGGCGCCCUGCCGGAGGGGGAACCCAUCACCGGUGGCCAUCUUCAUCAUCCCGGCGCUAUCCAUGACGAGGAGGGAGUAGUUCACCCUCGGGGCUGAGGGUAUGUACCAGUAGCUAUGUGUUUGAUCUCUCUCUCUCUCUCUCUCUCUCGUGUUCUCUCUCGUGUUCCCUCUAUGGCACGAUCUUGAUGUAUCCCGAGCUUUGCUAUUGUAGUUGGAUCUUAUGAUGUUUCUCCCCCUCUACUCUCUUGUGAUGAAUUGAGUGUCCCCUUUGAAGUUAUCUUAUCGGAUUGAGUCUUUUAUGAGAACACUUGAUGUAUGUCUUGCCGUGAUUAUAUGUGGUGACAAUGGGAUAUCAUGUGCCACUUGAUGUGUGUUUUGGUGAUCAACUUGCGGGUUUCGUGACAUUGGGAACCUAUGCAUAGGGGUUGGCACACGUUCUUGACUCUCCGGUAGAAACUUUGGGGCACUCUUUGAAGUACUUUGUGUUGGUUGGAUGAAUUUGAGAUUGUGUGAUGCAUAUCGUAUAAUCAUGCCCAUGGAUACUUGAGGUGACAAUGGAGUAUCUAGGUGACAUUAGGGUUUUGGUUGAUUUGUGUUUUAAGGUGUUAUUCUAGUACGAACUCUUUUAUAGAUCGAUCCGAAAGAAUAACUUUGAGGUGGUUUCGUACCCUACCAUAAUCUCUACGUUUGUUCUCCGCUAUUAGUGGCUUCGGAGUGACUCUUUGUUGCAUGUUGAGGGCUUGUUAUAUGAUCUAUCUAUGUUAUUAUUAUUGAGAGAACUUGCACUAGUGAAAGUAUGAACCCUAGGCCUUGUUUCCUAUCAUUGCAAUACCAUUUACGCUCACUUUUAUCUUUAGUUACCUUGCUGUUUUUAUUAUUUCAGAUUAAAAAACCUAUAUCUACCAUCCAUAUUGCAUUUGUAUCACCAUCUCUUCGCUGAACUAGUGCACCUAUAUAAUUUACCAUUGUAUUGGGUGUGUUGGGGUCACAAGAGACUCUUUGUUAUUUGAUUGCAGGGUUGUUUGAGAGAGACCAUCUUCAUCCUACGCCUCCUACGGAUUGAUAAACCUUAGGUCAUCCACUUGAGGGAAAUUUGCUACUGUCCUACAAACAGUGCACUUGCAGGCCCAACAACGUCUACAAGAAGAAGGUUGUGUAGUAGAAAUCAAGCGCACCUAGGAGGCCGGCCCCUCCCCCUCCUCCACUCCUUUAUAUACCGUGGAGGGGGGAACCCCAUAGAUACACAAGUUGAUCAUUGAUCUCUUAGCCGUGUGUGGUGCCCCCCUCCACCAUAAUCCACCUCGAUCAUAUCGUCAUAGUGCUUAGGCGAGCCCUGCGCCAGUAGCUUCAUCAUCACCGUCAUCACGCCGUCGUGCUGACGAAACUCUCCCUCGAAGCUCUACUGGAUCGUGAAUUUGGGGGACGUCAUUGAGCUGAACGUGUGCAGAUCGCGGAGGUGCCGUAUGUUCGGUACUAGGAUCGAUCGAUCGUGAAGACGUACGACUACAUCAACCGCGUUGUCAUAUCGCUUCCGCUUUCGGCUACGAGGGUACAUGGACAACACUCUCCCCUCUCGUUGCUAUGCAUCACCAUGAUCUUGCAUGUGCGUAGGAAAUUUUUGAAAUUACUACGUUCCCCAACAGUGAUAUCAGAGCCAGGUUUAUGCGUAGAUGUUAUAUGCACGAGUAGAACACAAGUGAGUUGUGAGCGAUACUAGUCAUACUUCUUACCAGCAUGUCAUACUUUGAUUCGGCGGUAUUGUUGAAUGAAGUGGCUCGGACCAGCAUUACGCGUACGCUUAUGCAAGACUGGUUCUACCGACGUGCUUCGCACACAGGUGGCUGGCGGGUGUCAGUUUCUCCAACUUUAGUUGAAUCGAGUGUGGCUACGCCUGGUCCUUGUUGAAGGUUAAAACAACACAUACUUGACGAAAUAUCGUUGUGGUUUUGAUGCAUAGGUAAGAACGGCUCUUGCUCAGCCUGUAGCAGCCAUGUAAAACUUGCAACAACAAAGUAGAGGACGUCUAACUUGUUUUUGCAGGGCAUGUUGUGAUGUGAUAUGGUCAAGACAUGAUGCUAAAUUUUAUUGUAUGAGAUGAUCAUGUUUUAUAACGGAGUUACCGACAACUGGCAGGAGCCAUAUGGUUAUCGCUUUAUUGUAUGAAAUGCAAUCGCCAUGUAAUUGCUUUACUUUAUUACUAAGCGGUAGCGAUAGUCGUAGAAACAAUAGUUGGCGAGUCGACAACGAUGCUACGAUGGAGAUCAAGGUGUCGCGCCGGUGACGAUGGUGAUCAUGACGGUGCUUUGGAGACUGAGAUCAAAGGCACAAGAUGAUGAUGGCCAUAUCAUAUCACUUAUAUUGAUUGCAUGUGAUGUUUAUCCUUUAUGCAUCUUAUUUUUCUUAGUUCGACGGUAGCAUUAUAAUAUGAUAUCUCACUAAAUUUCAAGGUACAAGUGUUCUCCCUGAGUAUGCACCGUUGCGACAGUUCUUCAUGCUGAGACACCACGUGAUGAUCGGGUGUGAAUAAGCUCUACAUUCACAUACAACGGGUGUAAGCCAGUUUUGCACACGCAGAAUACUCGGGUUAAACUUGACGUGCCUAGCAUAUGCAGAUAUGGCCUCAGAACACUGGAGACCGAAAGGUCGAGCGUGAAUCAUAUAGAAGAUAUGAUCAACAUAGUGAUGUUCACCAUUGAAAACUACUCCAUCUCACGUGAUGAUCGGACAUGGUUUAGUUGAUAUGGAUCACGUGAUCACUUAGAUGAUUAGAGGGAUGUCUAUCUAAGUGGGAGUUCUUAAGUAAUAUGAUUAAUUGAACUUUAAUUUAUCAUGAACUUAGUCCUGGUAGUAUUAAUUAGCAUAUCUAUGUUGUAGAUCAAUAGCUCGCGUUUAGCUCCCCUGUUUUAUUUUUGAUAUGUUCCUAGAGAAAACUAAGUUGAAAGAUGUUGGUGGCAAUGAUGCGGAUUGGAUCCGUGAUCUAAGGAUUAUCCUCAUUGCUGCACAGAAGAAUUAUAUCCUUGAUGCACCGCUAGGUGACAAACCAAUUGCAGGAGCAAAUGCAGGCGUUAUGAAUGUUUGGCAAGCUUGAUAUGAUGACUACUUGAUAGUUUAGUGCACCAUGCUUUACGGCUUAGAAUCGGGGCUUCAAAGACGUUUUUGAAACGCCACAGAUCAUAUGAGAUGUUCCAAGAGUUGAAAUUAGUAUUUCGGACUCAUGCCCAUGUCGAAAGGUAUGAGACCUUUGACAAGUACUUUGCCCACAAGAUGGAGGAGAAUAGCUUAGCUAGUGAGCAUGUGCUCAGAAUGUCUGAGUACUACAAUCACUUGAAUCAACUGGGAGUUAAUCUUCCAGAUAAGAUAGUGAUUGAUAGAGUCCUCUAGUCACUAUCACCAAGUUACUAGAACUUCGUGAUGAACUAUAAUAUGCAAGGGAUAACGGAAACGAUUCCCAAGCUCUUCAUGAUGCUAAAAUCGACGAAGGUAGAAAUCAAGAAAAGCAUCAAGUGUUGAUGGUUGACAAGACCACUAGUUUCAAGAAAAGGGCAAAGGGAAGAAGGGGAACUUAAAAAGAACAGCAAGCAAGUUGCUGCUCCCGUAAAGAAGCCCAAAGCUAGACCCAAGCCUGAAACUGAGUGCUUCUACUGCAAAGGAAAUGGUCACACAAUAUCACACAAUAUGUAAGAAUAGAACUUUAUAUAGACCAAGAAUAUAAAUUUGUUGCGAGCCCUAGAAAAUGUACUAGGAAGCCAUAAAAUGAUUUUUUUAAUCCAUGCCUUUUGGUGUGGUUUCUGCAUAAAAUGAUGCCACCACGUACGCUGCCUUGAAAAUGAACUCGGCAUGAUGGUUUCUCAUGCAGGAUCUGGUGAUUAUCCUGGCCGCGUCAGAAAUUGAAUGGUGUAGUGUUGUGCGAAAAUGAACUCGGUGGGAUGGUUUUCACAUGCAGGAUCUGGUGUCAUGCUGAUCAAGUCGGAAAUCAAGUGGUGCAGUGUUGUGUGAAAAUAGUCUGGUAGAGAUGAUGAAUCGAGGCAUUGGUGGUGUCAACCUUAAUUGACUAUUUAGACUCCACAAUAAUAUUUUACACAACUUCUUUUUUUCAAAUGUUAGCAUUACCACUAAAUUCAUUGAACAUGAUAAGAAGAAGGUUGAUCCAAUUUAUGAGGGAAACCGGACCGAAAACCGUACAAACGGCGCCUUUCGGGAAACAACACACACAUCCUCACAAAUCACGGGCCCCUUUGACCGGAUCCAUCUCCAGGACGAUUCCCCCAAGAGGGAACACGACGCCGGAUAGCGCUGCCAUCGUUCGAUCUAAACUAGACCAAAGGUUUCCCCCGGAGCAUGGCAGGAAAGACAAGAUGAGAGCAGCUACAACGAUGCCUCCAACAAGGGAGCGACACCAGAAGGCACUGCCAUCAGCGACUCCGGCCACAACCGGAUUACGACUUUCGCCGGCCGUCUCACCUACAUAGUUCGAGCUCAGGAUCCGAUCAGCUUGCACACCAAACCACUACCCCUGCCUCCACGGCAAACCACACAUCCCCAUCAAGCUUGACAUGCUUCCAACCUUGCAUCCGCGUCCCCCACUGGACGGAGGAUGCAACCCCGCAGCGGAGCCAUUCUUCUCCCAUCAGAAGGAUGCAACCAAGCAGGACACCAUUCAUCUCCUCAAGGAUGAAACGCCUACGGGCCAUUCAUCUCCCAACGAAGGAUGCAACAACUGCAACAACGCCAUUCCUCUCCCUCUAGCCACCACCAUCUCAUCCUCCCACCUGCAGCAGCGUUGAGCUUUCCGAACCACCAUGAGGAGGAUGCAACACCGAGCAGGGUGCCAUUCAUCUCCCUCCUAACCUCGCGCACGGGUUGUGGCCCGUGGCCACGCCGACCACGCCAUUGGCCGAGCCGCCUCCAGACCCCCAGCGACCAGGGUCGGCGGCUGCCGUCUCAAGCUACCUCGGGCCAGCGCGAGCAGGCACACACGAACCCCACUAGCGUCGUGCCUGCCGCGCCCUCCGGCGCUGCUGCCUCCACCGGCCAGACACUGAAGGAAAUAUGCCCUGGAGGCAAUAAUAAAGUUGUUAUUUAUAUUUCCUUAUAUCAUGAUAAAUGUUUAUUAUUCAUGCUAGAAUUGUAUUAACCGGAAACUUAGUACAUGUGUGAAUACAUAGACAAACAGAGUGUCACUAGUAUGCCUCUACUUGACUAGCUCGUUGAAUCAAAGAUGAUUAAGUUUCCUAGCCAUAGACAUGAGUUGUCAUUUGAUUAACGGGAUCACAUCACUAGAGAAUGAUGUGAUUGACUUGACCCAUUUCGUUAGCUUAGCACUUGAUCGUUUAGUAUGUUGCUAUUGCUUUCUUCAAGACUUAUACAUGUUCCUAUGACUAUGAGAUUAUGCAACUCCCGAAUACCGGAGGAACACCUUGUGUGCUAUCAAACGUCACAACAUAACUGGGUGAUUAUAAAGAUGCUCUACAUGUGUCUCCGAAGGUGUUUGUUGAGUUGUCAUAGAUCGAGAUUAGGAUUUGUCACUCCGAUUGUCGGGGAGGUAUCUCUGGGCCCUCUCGGUAAUGCACAUCACUAUAAGCCUUGCAAGCAAUGCAACUAAUGAGUUAGUUGCGGGAUGAUGUAUUACGGAACGAGUAAAGAGACUUGCUGGUAACGAGAUUGAACUAGGUAUUGAGAUACUGACGAUCGAAUCUCAGGCAAGUAACAUACCGAUGACAAAGGGAACAACGUAUGUUGUUAUGCGGUUUGACCGAUAAAGAUCUUCGUAGAAUAUGUGGGAGCCAAUAUGAGCAUCCAGGUUCCGCUAUUGGUUAUUAACCGGAGACGUGUCUCGGUCAUGUCUACAUAGUUCUCAAACCCGUAGGGUCCGCACGCUUAACGUUAGGUGACGACCGACAUUAUGAGUUUAUGUGUUUUGAUGUACAAAAGGUAGUUCGGAGUCCCGGAUGUGAUCACGGACAUGACGAGGAGUCUUGAAAUGGUCGAGACAUAAAGAUCGAUAUAUUGGAUGACUAUGUUUGGACUUCAGAAGUGUUCCGUGCAAGUUCAGACAAAUACCAGANNNNNNNNNNNNNNNNNNNNNNNNNNNNNNNNNNNNNNNNNNNNNNNNNNNNNNNNNNNNNNNNNNNNNNNNNNNNNNNNNNNNNNNNNNNNNNNNNNNNNNNNNNNNNNNNNNNNNNNNNNNNNNNNNNNNNGAGUGUAUUGGGCCUAUUGGGCCAUAGUGGAGAAGAGGAGGGGCAGCCAGGGCAGGCCACGCGCCCCCUCCCCCUCUAGUCUGAAUUGGACAAGGAAGGGGGGCGGCGCACCCCUUUUUCCUUCCCCCUCUCUCCUCCUUCCUUCCCUCCUACUCCUACUCUUGGAAGGGUUGGAGUCCUACUCCCGAUGGGAGUAGGACUCCCCUUGGGGCGCUGAUACGUCUCCAACAUAUCUAUAAUUUUUGAUUGCUCCUGUCAGGACCCCGACUCAAUGUCACAUCGAUCUAGCCUGUAACACCUCAUAUCACUUUGCGGCCUCACGCACGGUAUUCCCACGGGUGUCGCCUUACCUUUGCCCGGGACCAUUUGCGCCUUUUGGCUCACGUAUAUCAUGAUGUCGCUAGCAUCCAUAUGAUAAGGAGCCCGGGCUGACAUGACUAGUCGUAAACCCAAAGUGGCACAGACUUACAGGGACAGGCAUCCAUGACCCAGCAUCGAACGUGUCGGUCAUCAGCAAGUGGGUCCGGGCUGUAGCACUGGGCUAGCAGGACUCCGGUAAACCGGGCUGUAGCGGGCUAACAGGGCUCCGGUACUCAAUGCGUGACAUUUCCCCGAAGGGACAGACACAGGAACGAAGAAGGACACAUGCCGGCCAGCCUAAGUGUUCCGGAGCAGUAGCAAGCUACCAUGGCUCAAUGGAAACACUAGGAGACAUUUCCCGGUAAGAGAGGCUACUAAAGAUAAACAACUAGAUAGUCAGAUCCCACACAUACCAAGCAUUUCAAUCAUACACACAAUAUGCUCGAUAUGUGCAAAUACAACAAGGCAUCACAACAUGACUCUAUGACACAAGUACUUUAUUUAAAGGCUCAGAGAGCCAUACAUAACAUACAUACAAGUACGGGUCACACGACCCACAUUCAAGUCAUACAGUCAUACAAACCAGUAGCGGAAGUAACUUGUCUGAGUACAGACAACUAGUAAAAUAAAAGAGGCUUGGAAAGCCUAGCUAUACUACAUGGUCCUUCACAAGCUCAGGAUUACCACCUGGGCCUCAGUCUACUCAUCGAUGUCAAUGUCUACGAAGAACCCAUCAGAAGGGGUUGCAGCGUCUUCUGUAAAAUGUAAAUUAUAGCAACAUGAGUACAAAGGUACCCAGCAAGACUUACAUCAGAUCCUACAUACAUGCACAUUAUCAAGAAGGGUUGGUGGAGUUAUUGCAGCAAGCCAGCUUUGACUCUUGGCUAAGCUAACUUACGAGACACCAACUUGAAAUGGUUUUGCGCACACGAGUCCACUACUCACCACUUCAAUACACCACCGAGGAUCCAUCUCCGUCAUCCUACGGAAGAGCCAUCCUCGGCACUCACGCUUAUCUUGAGGCUUUUAGUAGUUUCCAGUUUACUUGUCUAUGAACUGUAUAAGCAACCAAGUAGUCCUUUACCGCGGACGCAGCUAUUCGAAUAGAUCAUGUUAACCCUGUAGGGGUGUACUUCUUCAUACAUGUUUCCACCACUUAGCGUCUGCACACGACAUGUGCUCGGCAGACUUCAAGCGAAAGCCGACGUGGGUGUAGACCACGACCUACCUAAACACCUAAGUCUCUAGUCUAGGUUUAUCGCCUAUCCAGGUUCCAUCCGUAGGGAGUCCGGCCGAGGUUUCCCAUACGGCCCCGAACGAUGUGUACAGGGUUCCCGAGAUACCUAACGGGUAUUCGAUACACCGUGCCACGUACCUACCGCAUCACAGCCCACCCCGCGGGUUAGCGCUGUCCACGGCCUCCAGUAAGCUACAAACACCAGAAACUACUUGCAACUCCUGGACAGAGGACUAGGGUGAAUAAGAAGUUGAGCGGGGUCAUAUUUCAGGGCCCAAUGCAUGGUAGUAGCUGAAUCUUAAAUCACGCAUACAGAUCUCAGUUCUUAAGGUCGGCUUCAAUGAAACAACCCACCAUGUACUCCUACAUGGCCUCUCAUCGAUACCUUUACCAAAUCGUGUUCACCACAUCACUCUCAUUACCGACAUGAUCAUUUCACUCUAGCCCAUCACCCAGAUGAACCAGACCUGACACGACUCUAAGCAUAGCAGGCAUAGCAAGGUAGGAACAACACAUACAUAUGGCUCAAUCAAUUCCUACACAUGCUAGUGGGUUUCAUCUAAUUACUGUGGCAAUGACAGGUCAUGCAGAGGAACUGGGUUCAACUACCGUAGCACACAGCAGUUUGAAAGCGUUGUCUUAAUGCAGUAAAAGAGAGCAAGAGCGAGAACAUGGGAUUGUAUCGAUAUGAUCAAAUGGUUGGUUGCUUGCCUGAUGGAUCGAUGCACGUAUACGGUUCUUCGCUAGGGUAAUCACGGUACUCCUCGGAGGCAGAACCUGCCGCAAAGAACACCGAUACACAACCAUCACCAAACAAUGUGCGACAAUAUGAUGCAUGCAUGAAACAUGGCAAUAUGAGUGUGUUGGGCUAAUGCAACUAAAACCAGAUGGGUUUGAAUCAAUUUGAACCAAAGAUUCAAAUUUCAAACUCAUAAAUGGCCCUUUAAAGUGUUUUAUCUUGUUCUGCACUAAACCUCAAGUUAGUUUGUUUAAACAUGCAUGAAACUAGUACAGAUGGAUAGAUUGGAUUUUUCUGAUCAUUUUUCAUAUAUAAUUUGUUUGAUUUGGAGCUACGGUUGAAUUUAUAUGAAUUUUUGAAGUUUGCAACAAUUUCUGGAAUUUAUAAAUCAUUUUAGAUUUAUUUUAAUUUCAGAAAAGGUUUACUGCGUCAGCAUGAGGUCAUGCUUACCUCAGCAAGUCAACAGACCCGGUCCAGGUCAAACCUGACGCGUGGGUCCAGGGUGUCAGUGGAUAAUUAACUAAUUUAAUUUAGUUUAAACUAAUUUGGAUAAUUAGCAGAAGGGGGCCCCACCUGUCAUUGACUCAACAGAGUCAACCAGGGCCCACCUGUGGUCAAAGUCAAAAUGGCUGCACCGGCGUUUAGCCGCCGGCGAGCCCGACGCGGCGGCGGAAGUGGUUUUGGCCGUUCUGGCCACCAAAUGGGGCGCGGAAGGCAUCUACGUGGAGCUGGGGACGAACCGCAGCUUUUGGUGGAGCGAGUUGAGGUCGAGGUGGCCGGAGUUGGCGCCGGCGACGACCUAGGCGAUCACCGGAGUUCGGGUAAAGGCGAACUCGGGGCUAGGGUGUGCGGUGAGGUGCAGGGAGUGCACGGUUGGACUCAACGCAGCGUGCUGAGUGCGUUGGACACCGUGAGGUGGCUGGAGGAUGGCCGGGAGCACGUCGGUGACGAGAUCCGCGGCGGUGCGUACGGGUGAUCUUCGUGCGGUGGCUACACGGCUCGGGGCGAGAGAGGAAGGGUAGGAGGGGUAGCUAGGCUCACAGAGCACCCGUAGAGGCCACCGGCAGGGUCGGGGACGAGCUGAUGCGGCGACGGCGUUGAAGGGGAUCUCUGGCGACGACGAACUCGGGCGAGGUCGGUGCGGUGGACUCGGGCCACACGAGCACACGGGGCUUGGCUUGCUCGAAGGAGAGGAGGGUGGCGGAGCUCGUGGACACGGUGGCACGGCGUGGGGUUGACGGAGAGCGCGUCCACGGCGUAGGCACGACGGCGGUGGCGUCGGCCAUGGCUGGGGAGCGCGAGGGGGAGGAGCUGGAGAGGAGAGGGGGCGUCUGGGGGGUUCGGGGGAGAGAGAGGGGUCGAUCCACGUCGUUAGCCGGGCGAGUGGAGCGGCGAGGUGGCGAGCAGGUGCGUGGCACCCAUGCGGUGCUCGCCGUCGAGCACCUUGCCUGCCUGCCUGGCCGGCAAGAAGCUCGCUGGCGCGGCGCUGGGCUGGGCCGGCAGGUGGGCCGGGUUGCAGGCGCCAGGUAAGUUUUCCUUUCUGUUUUUCUGUUUUUUAUUUAUUCUGUAAGUUUGUUGAAUUAUUAAAAAUACUUAGGCAACUCCUAAAAUCACCAAACUGCUUCUGGUCCAUAGUUGGAUUAUUUCCAACAUGAAACAUUUUAGUUUGGAGAUAUUUGAGCAUUUGAAAUAUUUUAUAAAUUUAAAAUGCCCAAAUUCAAAUAAUUAUCAUUUAAUUCAAAGACCCUAAGAUGACCUAGAAAAUGGUGCAACACUUUUGGCAGAGGUUCUAAACCAAGACAAAAAUGAUGGACAUUUUAGAAGGGCAUUUCAGGUUCAUUGAAAUUAUUUUUAGUAAACCCUAGUUGUUUCAGAGGGGGCUGGGGGUUCUGACAUCCCCAUUUCAGGUUUCUGUUGAAAGAAUAAACAUGAUGCAACACUCUAAUGCAUGAACUAGCUAGGGUGUGACAACUCACCCCCACUCAAAAGAAUCUCGUCCCGAGAUUUGGGUUCCUCCGGGAAGAAGGCGGGAUACUCGAGUCGAAGACGAUCCUCCCUUUCCCAAGUUGCUUCAUUCUCAGAAUGGUGCGACCAUUGAACCUUGAGAAACUUGAUAUUAUGACGUCGAGUGGUACGCUCAGCUUGAUCGAGGAUACGAAUGGGGUACUCUCGAUACGUGAGAUUAUCUUGGAGAUCAAGCGUUUCGUGGUCUACUCCAUGGAUAGGAUCCGAGAAGCAACGCCUGAGUUGAGAAACGUGGAAGAUGUCGUGGACUCUGGAGAGAUGCGGAGGUAGUUCCAAUUGGUAGGCAACUUCUCCUCGUUUUGCGAGAAUGCGAAAGGGUCCAAUGUAACGAGGAGCCAAUUUGCCCUUGAUACCGAAGCGAUGGGUUCCCUUCAGAGGAGUAACCCGAAGGUAAGCCUUCUCGUCAACCUCAAAAGUCAUAGCCUUAUGUUUUCGGUCAUAUUGACUCUUUUGACGAGAUUGGGCUGUUUUCAACUUUUCACGAACGAUGCGAACUUGCUCUUCUGCUUCCUGAAUCAUAUCCGGGCCAAAGAAUUGUCUUUCCCCGGUUUCUGACCAGUUAAGAGGCGUUCGACACCUUCGUCCAUAGAGAACUUCAAAAGGGGCUUUGCCCAAGCUGGAUUGAUAGCUGUUGUUAUAAGCAAAUUCGGCAAAUGGAAGGCAUUUCUCCCACUCCAUUCCGAAUGAGAUAACAGAAGCUUGAAGCAUGUCUUCUAGAAUCUGGUUGACGCGUUCCACUUGACCACUUGAUUGAGGGUGGAAAGCGGUACUAAAAGAAAGGCGGGUUCCCAUAGCAUUUUGGAAACUUUCCCAAAAUCGAGAGGUGAAAAGACUUCCUCGAUCCGAGUUAAUUUCCAAAGGAACACCAUGGAGAGACACUAUUCGGGAGAUGUACAAGUCUGCUAACUGACUAGCAGUUAUACUCUCACGAACAGGUAAGAAAUGUGCCACUUUGGAAAGACGGUCGAUAACGACGAAGAUAGCGUUAUUCCCUCUCUUGGUCCUGGGAAAACCGGUAAUGAAGUCCAUACCAAUUUUAUCCCAUUUCCAUUCAGGAAUAGCUAGGGGUUGAAGGGUGCCAGCAGGCCGUUGAUGCUCUGCUUUUACACGACGACAGACGUCGCAAUUAGCAAUAUACUGAGCAAUUUCUCUCUUCAUCCUAGUCCACCAGAACCUCUGGCGUAGGUCCUGAUACAUCUUGGUACUACCGGGAUGAAUGGUGAGAGGAGAUUCAUGAGCCUCCUUAAGGAUCAACUGUCGUAGAUGCUGGUUCUUGGGAACCACUAAACGGUUCUCAAAGUACACAACACCAUGAUCAUUUGUGGAGAAACAUCUAGCACCUCCGCUAGCAAUGUUCUCCUUGAUCUUAGAUAUUCCCUUAUCUCGCUUUUGGGCAGCGAUGAUUUGAUCCGUAAGAGUAGGUUUCGCCACCAAGGUGGAAAGAAAUCCUUGAGGAACAAUGUGAAGGUUAAGCUUCCGAAAUUCCUCAUGGAGAAGCGGUUGACUUUGUUGUAACAUCAGGUUGUUACAAUAAGAUUUACGACUUAGCGCAUCAGCCAUGACGUUGGCUUUCCCUGGGGUGUAAGUUAUUCCUAAGUCGAAAUCUGUGAUCAACUCGACCCAACGUCUUUGCCUGAGAUUUAAAUCCGGUUGGGUGAAUAUAUACUUCAGACUUUGGUGAUCAGUGUAGAUUUCGCAACGAUUACCGAGGAGGUAAUGUCGCCAGGUUUUAAGUGCAUAGACUACAGCUGCAAGCUCUAGAUCAUGAGUAGGAUAAUUCUCCUCAUGUGGAUGCAAUUGCCGUGAAGCGUAAGCAAUUACGUGUCGAUCUUGCAUGAGAAUGCAACCUAGUCCUUGUCGCGAGGCGUCGCAGUAGAUAACAAAAUCCUUGGAAAAAUCUGGUGGUACCAGUACGGGAGCAGAGGUUAAACGUCUUUUCAGUUCCUGGAAACUGUGCUCACAUUGUGGAGUCCACUCGAACUUUUUAUCUUUCUUGAGGAGUUCAGUUAGAGGUUUGGAAACUUUGGAGAAAUUCUCGACAAAGCGACGGCAAUAGCUCGCUAGGCCAAGGAAACUCCGAACUUGCUUGACCGAUUCAGGUGGAGUCCAAUUAAGGACGGCUUGAACUCGCUCGGGGUUAACAGCAAUGCCUUUACUAGAAAUUACAUGUCCAAGAUAGGUCACUUCUGACAACCAGAAUUCACAUUUAGAAAAUUUGGCAUAAAGGCGAUGCUCUUGAAGUUUCUUCAACACUAGCCUUAGGUGUUCGGAAUGUUCUUCCUCGUUCUUGGAGUAGAUGAGUAUAUCAUCGAGGUAAACCACGACGAAUUUAUCCAAAUACUCCAUGAAGAUUGAGUUCAUCAACCGAGAGAAGGUGGCUGGAGCGUUGGUUAAACCGAAGGACAUGACGGUGUACUCGUAUUGGCCAUAACGAGUAACAAAGGCUGUCUUCGGAAUGUCCCCGUUUCUGAUUUUGAUUUGAUGGUAGCCCAACCUCAAAUCCAUUUUAGAGAAGACUGAGGAUCCAGCGAGCUGAUCAUAUAGGUCGUUGAUCCUGGGGAGCGGAUAUUUGUUCUUAAUUGUGACCAAGUUGACAGGUCGAUAAUCUACAACCAUCCGGUCCAUACCAUCCUUCUUCUUGACGAAGAGGACGGGGCAAGCCCAAGGAGAUGAACUAGGUCGGAUGAAACCCUUUUUCAAGGACUCAUCGAGUUGUUUCUUAAGCUCGGCUAGUUCAAAAGGUGCCAUCUUGUAGGGUCUUCUGGAAACCGGGACAGUUCCUGGAAUGAGAUCUAUCACGAAUUCGACAUCUCUGUCAGGUGGAACACCUGGCAAUUCCUCUGGGAAGACAUCCGGAAAGUCACAGACUACCGGAACAUCCUCAAGGUCUGGCAAAGGGCUGGCGUUAAGAGAAUAUAACUGUCGCUUGGCUAUUCGGGGUCAAGACAUUGACUAUCUUCCCCGAAGGAUGGGUGAGUUGAACAGUCCUAGAGAAGCAAUCAAUUUUGGCAUGAUGGGCUGACAUCCAGUCCAUACCCAAGAUGAUAUUAAUAUCCGAAGAUUUGAGGGCUAUCAAAGAUGCGAGAAAAAUAAGUUUGUCGACUUGAAUUUCAUUUCCAUGGCUUACUCUAGAAGUUUGCCAUUUGGAUCUCGGAGUUUGAAUUACCAUAGAGGUGGGCAUCUCACAGAAUGUGGUGUUAUGCAGACGAGCAUAGCUCUCGGAUAUAAAUGAAUGAGAUGCUCCUGUAUCGAAAAGAACAGAUGCCGGGUGGCAAUUAACAAGGAGUGUACCGAGAACGACGUUGGGAUCUUCUUGAGCCUCUUCCGCAGAAACACAAUUAACAUGGCCACGAGCAGUGGUGGCCGGCUUGGCGUAGAACACUUUCCCUGUCGGCUUGUCGAGGCCAACAGUUUUUGCUGUCUGGUUGGGGUUGGUUUGGGGACACUCGCGCAUAUAGUGGCCUGAUUCCCCACACUUGAAGCACGUCACGGAACUGGUGCGUGGGGGAGCAUUGUUGGUUGGACCACCAUAGGGCUUGGCUGGUGCAUAUUGCUGAGCUGGGCGAGGCGCCUGAUAGGAUGGCCUCGGUGUAAACCUGGGUGGCAGGGCAGUGUUAGGCACCCAUACACGGCGCUUCUGUGGUCCAGCACCGGAUGAGGAACCCAAGUCACGGCCAUGCUUGCGUGAUGCGUCGAAAUCAGUCUGUCCCGUCUCAGCACUGAUGGCUUUAUUCACAAGCUUCUGAAAAGAGGUGCACUCAUGCAGACGGAGGUCACGACGGAGCUCAGGACUAAGCCCCUUACGGAACCUUGCCUGCUUCUUGGCAUCAGUAGAAACUUCCUCUGUUGCAUAACGGGCAAGGUUACCAAACUCCCUGCUGUAAGCGUCAACAGAGAGUCGACCUUGAGUGAAACUACAGAACUACUCACGUUUAUGGUCCAUGAGACCCUCCGGAAUGUGAUGUUCAUGGAAAGCCUCGCUGAAUUCAGCCCAAGUAGUGACGUGGCCCGCUGGGCGCAUAGCUUCAUAAUUCUCCCACCAGAGACUGGCGGGGCCUUCGAGAUGAUAUGCAGCAAAGGUGACCCUAUCAGCCUCAGCUACGAGUGCAGAAUGCAGUUUGUGAGUAAUACUGCGAAGCCAGUCAUCGGCGUCGAGAGGCUCGACGGAGUGGUGGAAGGUAGGUGGAUGUAACUUGAUGAAAUCACUGAGUGACACCAAGUUAGUCCUCUAAUGGUGUGUUGUGUUCUGUUCAAUACGCUCCAACAAACGGUUGGUCUCCCGCUUGUUUCUCUCAGCCUCUAGCAUAACUUCUGCCAGAGAGGGAGGGUGAGGCAGAUUUGUAUCCCCAACUCUGCUACCUUCGGCCUGCUCUGGGGGAGCAGGGUUGUUGUGGGUGUUGACCAUCCUAGGAGAACAAGACAAUGGUUAAGUCCAAAAUGAUAAGAUUCCGACAUAGAAUGUAGAAUGUAAUGGACAACUCAGAAUGCAAGAUGAUCAUCCGUAUGACAUGGAAGAUACAGAAACUACUUCAUUUAUUCCAUCGUCAUACACACCAUACAAGGUUUAGUACAGAACCAAACAAAGUACUACUAUGGUGAGAAGAGGAUUACAGCUCAUCGGAGGCAUCCCAAGCUCCUAUACAUUAUUUUUCCUACACCCCCGGAAUUACUACACGCUAAGUCAUAUUCGACAAGUCACGCAGGACGGUGGAAAUACAACUAUUACAAUACCUAGUGGAACUACUACUAUCUCAGUCAUCUCUGUAGUAGUUCUCAUAGAAGUCUCCUCCAUAACCUGGAAGUUCAACGUGAGCAUCCGGAAACAAACGGUCCUGAGGAGCCUGUGGACCAAAAGGGCUAGGGUGAGGUCUUGGACCAACAAACGGUGGCCUGCGAGGACCACGAGGUGGGGUGAUGCCUCCCACAUCACGCCAAUCCAUCAUGUCCAGCAGAGCAGACCUAACAGGAUACAAAUCUCUCAUAUCCAUGCAUCCAGCUUGCACAGCCGGUGCAAACCGAGUCAAGGUGGCCCAAUGAUCGGCGCGGGUGUUGAAAAGCUCCAUUCUCAAGGCCCGAUUCUCUCGGUCCUUAUCCUCGAGCAACUCAGCAGUGGUGCGAGUUAGUGAGUCCUCUUGACUGGAGUCAGCAUAGAUAGCCCGGAGAUAACCGUGCGCUCCAUGAAGUGAAGCUGGCAUAUACCGAAAGUCGGUGUUGCGAAGCAGGCCAGUCCUGACUCGCAUGAUGGUCAUCAUAGAAUAAGCCGCAUCUUGCACGGCCAUCUCAAUAGUAACACCGAGCCCAUAGGAGCAGUGAAGAGCCUCGGUAGAACCAGGAUAAGAGGGAAAUAUCCGGACGGUGCAAAGAUACUGGCUUUGGUUAAAAUCUCGAAACUGCUCUUCGACCGUGUAUUCGGGAUACCAACGGUAACCCGUCUCGAUCAUCACUCGGACUAACAUGGCCGUAUGACCGGUCACACCAAUGCAUCGGGUCAGGCGAACCACUUGAUUUUGGUCGCGAGUGGCCAUCUGAAAGCACAACCAUAAUGCAAAGGCAUUAGAAUUCCUAGCAAAAUUUCGACAGCAUAACGGCUCUAAAUGCUCAAGAAGGGUUUGAGACAUUUAUCAAAAAAUUGCAUAGACACUCAACAAUAUCAUAUCAAGGUUCUGGGUUCAACUUAUCAGCAUAACAAGGUAGUAGAACUGAACUAGGCUUGUAGUCAUCAAACCUAUAAGGUACUACUGAUUCGUAACACGUGAACCUGAUAGAGAGAGAAGAUCCUAAUCCUUAAACCCCGGUAGAAGAAUGGACUGACUCAGAUCAGAAUGCCAUGAGGUAAAGAAGUAAAAGAGCCUUACGUACCAUCCCACAAUCAAUUCCCCUACAUAUAACUAAAGCAUUUCUAGACUCAACAUCGACCAGUUUGGCUUGGAGAACCUACAGGCAGUCCGGCUCUGAUGCCAACGCUGUCAGGACCCCGACUCAGUGUCACAUCGAUCUAGCAUGUAACACCUCAUAUCACUUUGCGGCCUCACGCACGGUAUUCCCACGGGUGUCGCCUUACCUUUGCCCGGGACCGUUUGCGCCUUUUGGCUCACGUAUAUGAUGAUGUCGCUAGCAUCCAUAUGAUAAGGAGCCCGGGCUGACAUGACUAGUCGUAAACCCAAAGUGGCACAGACUUACAGGGACAGGCAUCCAUGACCCAGCAUCGAACGUGUCGGUCAUCAGCAAGUGGGUCCGGGCUGUAGCACUGGGCUAGCAGGACUCCGGUAAACCGGGCUGUAGCGGGCUAACAGGGCUCCGGUACUCAAUGCGUGACAUUUCCCCGAAGGGACAGACACAGGAACGAAGAAGGACACAUGCCGGCCAGCCUAAGUGUUCCGGAGCAGUAGCAAGCUACCAUGGCUCAAUGGAAACACUAGAAGACAUUUCCCGGUAAGAGAGGCUACUAAAGAUAAACAACUAGAUAGUCAGAUCCCACACAUACCAAGCAUUUCAAUCAUACACACAAUAUGCUCGAUAUGUGCAAAUACAACAAGGCAUCACAACAUGACUCUAUGACACAAGUACUUUAUUUAAAGGCUCAGAGAGCCAUACAUAACAUACAUACAAGUACGGGUCACACGACCCACAUUCAAGUCAUACAGUCAUACAAACCAGCAGCGGAAGUAACUUGUCUGAGUACAGACAACUAGUAAAAUAAAAGAGGCUUGGAAAGCCUAGCUAUACUACGUGGUCCUUCACAAGCUCAAGAUUACCACCUGGGCCUCAGUCUACUCAUCGAUGUCAAUGUCUACGAAGAACCCAUCAGAAGGGGUUGCAGCGUCUUCUGUAAAAUGUAAAUUAUAGCAACAUGAGUACAAAUGUACCCAGCAAGACUUACAUCAGAUCCUACAUACAUGCACAUUAUCAAGAAGGGUUGGUGGAGUUAUUGCAGCAAGCCAGCUUUGACUCUUGGCUAAGCUAACUUACGAGACACCAACUUGAAAUGGUUUUGCGCACACGAGUCCACUACUCACCACUUCAAUACACCACCGAGGAUCCACCUCCGUCAUCCUACGGAAGAGCCAUCCUCGGCACUCACGCUUAUAUUAAGGCUUUUAGUAGUUUCCAGUUUACUUGUCUAUGAACUGUAUAAGCAACCAAGUAGUCCUUUACCGCGGACGCGGCUAUUCGAAUAGAUCAUGUUAACCCUGUAGGGGUGUACUUCUUCAUACAUGUUUCCACCACUUAGCGUCUGCACACGACAUGUGCUCGGCAGACUUCAAGCGAAAGCCGACGUGGGUGUAGACCACGACCUACCUAAACACCUAAGUCUCUAGUCCAGGUUUAUCGCCUAUCCAGGUUCCAUCCGCAGGGAGUCCGGCCGAGGUUUCCCAUACGGCCCCAAACGAUGUGUACAGGGUUCCCGAGAUACCUAACGGGUAUUCGAUACACCGUGCCACGUACCUACCGCAUCACAGCCCACCCCGCGGGUCAGCGCUGUCCACGGCCUCCAGUAAGCUACAAACACCAGAAACUACUUGAAACUCCUGGACAGAGGACUAGGGUGAAUAAGAAGUCGAGCGGGGUCAUAUUUCAGGGCCCAAUGCAUGGUAGUAGCUGAAUCUUAAAUCACGCAUACAGAUCUCAGUUCUUAAGGUCGGCUUCAAUGAAACAACCCACCAUGUACUCCUACAUGGCCUCUCAUCGAUACCUUUACCAAAUCGUGUUCACCACAUCACUCUCAUUACCGACAUGAUCAUUUCACUCUAGCCCAUCACCCAGAUGAACCAGACCUGACACGACUCUAAGCAUAGCAGGCAUAGCAAGGUAGGAACAACACAUACAUAUGGCUCAAUCAAUUCCUACACAUGCUAGUGGGUUUCAUCUAAUUACUGUGGCAAUGACAGGUCAUGCAGAGGAAAUGGGUUCAACUACCAUAGCACACAGCAGUUUGAAACGCGUUGUCUUAAUGCAGUAAAAGAGAGCAAGAGCAAGAACAUGGGAUUGUAUCGAUAUGAUCAAAUGGUUGGUUGCUUGCAUGAUGGAUCGAUGCAUGGAUACGGUUCUUCGCUAGGGUAAUCACGGUACUCCUCGGAGGCAGAACCUGCCGCAAAGAACAUUGAUACACAACCAUCACCAAACAAUGUGCGACAAUAUGAUGCAUGCAUGAAACAUGGCAAUAUGAGUGUGUUGGGCUAAUGCAACUAAAACCAGAUGGGUUUGAAUCAAUUUGAACCAAAGAUUCAAAUUUCAAACUCAUAAAUGGCCCUUUAAAGUGUUUUAUCUUGUUCUGCACUAAACCUCAAGUUAGUUUGUUUAAACAUGCAUGAAACUAGUACAGAUGGAUAGAUUGGAUUUUUCUGAUCAUUUUUCAUAUAUAAUUUGUUUGAUUUGGAGCUACGGUUGAAUUUAUAUGAAUUUUUGAACUUUGCAACAAUUUCUGGAAUUUAUAAAUCAUUUUAGAUUUAUUUUAAUUUCAGAAAAGGUUUACUGCGUCAGCAUGAGGUCAUGCUGACCUCAGCAAGUCAACAGACCCGGUCCAGGUCAAACCUGACGCGUGGGUCCAGGGUAUCAGUGGAUAAUUAACUAAUUUAAUUUAGUUUAAACUAAUCUGGAUAAUUAGCAGAAGGGGGCCCCACCUGUCAUUGACUCAACAGAGUCAACCAGGGCCCACCCGUGGUCAAAGUCAAAAUGGCUGCACCGGUGUUUAGCCGCCGGCGAGCCCGACGCGGCGGCGGAAGUGGUUUUGGCCGUUCCGGCCACCAAAUGGGGCGCGGAAGGCAUCUACGUGGAGCUGGGGACGAACCGCAGCUCUUGGUGGAGCGAGUUGAGGUCGGGGUGGCCGGAGUUGGCGCCGGCGACGACCUAGGCGGUCAGCGGAGUUCGGGUGAAGGCGAACUCGGGGCUAGGGUGUGCGGUGAGGUGCGGGGAGUGCACGGUUGGACUCAACGCAGCGUGGUGAGGGCGUUGGACACCGUGAGGUGGCCGGAGGAUGGCCGGGAGCACGUCGGCGACGAGAUCUGCGGUGGUGCGUGCGGGUGAUCUUCGUGCGGUGGCUACACGGCUCGGGGCGAGAGAGGAAGGGUAGGAGGGGUAGCUAGGCUCACAGAGCACCCGUAGAGGCCACCGGCGGGGUCGGGGACGAGCUGAUGCGGCGACGGUGUUGAAGGGGAUCUCCGGCGACGGCGAACUCGGGCGAGGUCGGUGCGGUGGACUCGGGCCACACGAGCACACGGGGCUCGGCUUGCUCGAAGGAGAGGAGGAUGGCGGAGCUCGUGGACAUGGUGGCGCGGCGUGGGGUUGACGGAGAGCGCGUCUACGGCNNNNNNNNNNNNNNNNNNNNNNNNNNNNNNNNNNNNNNNNNNNNNNNNNNNNNNNNNNNNNNNNNNNNNNNNNNNNNNNNNNNNNNNNNNNNNNNNNNNNNNNNNNNNNNNNNNNNNNNNNNNNNNNNNNNNNNNNNNNNNNNNNNNNNNNNNNNNNNNNNNNNNNNNNNNNNNNNNNNNNNNNNNNNNNNNNNNNNNNNNNNNNNNNNNNNNNNNNNNNNNNNNNNNNNNNNNNNNNNNNNNNNNNNNNNNNNNNNNNNNNNNNNNNNNNNNNNNNNNNNNNNNNNNNNNNNNNNGUCUACGGCGUAGGCACGGCGGCGGUGGCGUCGGCCAUCGUUGGGGAGCGCGAGGGGGAGGAGCUGGAGAGGAGAGGGGGCGUCUGGGGGGUUCGGGGGAGAGAGAGGGGUCGAUCCACGUCGUUAGCCGGGCGAGUGGAGCGGCGAGGCGGCGAGCAGGUGCGUGGCACCCAUGCGGUGCUCGCCGUCGAGCACCUUGCCUGCCUGCCUGGCCGGCAAGCAGCUCGCUGGCGCGGCGCUGGGCUGGGCCGGCAGGUGGGCCAGGUUGCAGGCGCCAGGUAAGUUUUCCUUUCUAUUUUUCUGUUUUUUAUUUAUUUUGUAAGUUUGUUGAAUUAUUAAAAAUACUUAGGCAACUCCUAAAAUCACCAAACUGCUUCUGGUCCAUAGUUGGAUUAUUUCCAACAUGAAACAUUUUAGUUUGGAGAUAUUUGAGCAUUUGAAAUAUUUUAUAAAUUUAAAAUGCCCAAAUUCAAAUAAUUAUCAUUUAAUUCAAAGACCCUAAGAUGACCUAGAAAAUGGUGCAACACUUUUGGCAGAGGUUCUGAACCAAGACAAAAAUGAUGGACAUUUUAGAAGGGUAUUUCAGGUUCAUUGAAAUUAUUUUUAGUAAACCCUAGUUGUUUCAGAGGGGGCUGGGGGUUCCGACAUCCCCAUUUCAGGUUUCUAUUGAAAGAAUAAACAUGAUGCAACACUCUAAUGCAUGAACUAGCUAGGGUGUGACAGCUCCAUGCUACUUUAUCUACUGUUUUAAGCAAUAUUGGGCUUUAUUACCCACUUUUAUAUUAUUUUUGGGACUAACCUAUUAACCGGAGGCCCAACCCAGAUUUGCUGUUUUAUGCCUAUUUCAGUGUUUCGAGGAAAAGGAAUAUCAGACAGAGUCAAAAUGGAACGAAAUCAACUAGAGGAGUUAUUUUUGGAAGGAAAGCCACCCGAUGGACUUGGAGUGCACGUCAGGGAAGAAGAGAGGUGCCCACGAGGGUGGGGGGCGCGCCCACCCCCCUGGGGGGCGCCCCCUGCCUCGUGCCCCCCCUUCGGUCCACCGACGUACCUCUUUCACCCAUAUAUACCUACGUACCCUAAAACUACCAGAACAGAAGAUAGAUCGGGAGUUUCGCCGCCGCAAGCCUCUGUAGCCACCAAAAACCACUCGGGAGCCCGUUCCGGCGCCCUGCCGGAGGGGGAACCCAUCACCGGUGGCCAUCUUCAUCAUCCCGGCGCUAUCCAUGACGAGGAGGGAGGAGUUCACCCUCGGGGCUGAGGGUAUGUACUAGUAGCUAUGUGUUUGAUCUCUCUCUCUCUCUCGUGUUCUCUCUCGUGUUCCCUCUAUGGCACGAUCUUGAUGUAUCCCGAGCUUUGCUAUUGUAGUUGGAUCUUAUGAUGUUUCUCCCCCUCUACUCUCUUGUGAUGAAUUGAGUUUCCCCUUUGAAGUUUAUCUUAUCGGAUUGAGUCUUUUAUGAGAACACUUGAUGUAUGUCUUGCCGUGAUUAUAUGUGGUGACAAUGGGAUAUCAUGUGCCACUUGAUGUGUGUUUUGGUGAUCAACUUGCGGGUUUCGUGACAUUGGGAACCUAUGCAUAGGGGUUGCACACGUUCUUGACUCUCCGGUAGAAACUUUGGGGCACUCUUUGAAGUACUUUGUGUUGGUUGGAUGAAUCUGAGAUUGUGUGAUGCAUAUCGUAUAAUCAUGCCCACGGAUACUUGAGGUGACAAUGGAGUAUCUAGGUGACAUUAGGGUUUUGGUUGAUUUGUGUUUUAAGGUGUUAUUCUAGUACGAACUCUUUUAUACAUCGAUCCGAAAGAAUAACUUUGAGGUGGUUUCGUACCCUACCAUAAUCUCUACGUUUGUUCUCCGCUAUUAGUGGCUUCGGAGUGACUCUUUGUUCCAUGUUGAGGGCUUGUUAUAUGAUCUAUCUAUGUUAUUAUUAUUGAGAGAACUUGCACUAGUGAAAGUAUGAACCCUAGGCCUUGUUUCCUAUCAUUGCAAUACCGUUUACGCUCACUUUUAUCUUUAGUUACCUUGCUGUUUUUAUUAUUUCAGAUUACAAAAACCUAUAUCUACCAUCCAUAUUGCAUUUGUAUCACCAUCUCUUCGCCGAACUAGUGCACCUAUACAAUUUACCAUUGUAUUGGGUGUGUUGGGGACACAAGAGACUCUUUGUUAUUUGGUUACAGGGUUGUUUGAGAGAGACCAUGUUCAUCCUACGCCUCCUACGGAUUGAUAAACCUUAGGUCAUGCACUUGAGGGAAAUUUGCUACUGUCCUACAAACAUGUGCACUUGCAGGCCCAACAACGUCUACAAGAAGAAGGUUGUGUAGUAGAAAUCAAGCGCACCUAGGAGGCCGGCCCCCUCCCCGCCCUCCACUCCUUUAUAUACCAUGGAGGGGGGAACCCCAUAGAUACACAAGUUGAUCAUUGAUCUCUUAGCCGUGUGUGGUGCCCCCCUCCACCAUAAUCCACCUCGGUCAUAUCGUCGUAGUGCUUAGGCGAGCCCUGCGCCGGUAGCUUCAUCAUCACCGUCAUCACGCCGUCGUGCUGACGAAACUCUCCCUCGAAGCUCUACUGGAUCGUGAGUUCGGGGGACGUCAUUGAGCUAAACGUGUGCAGAUCGCGGAGGUGCCGUAUGUUCGGUACUAGGAUCGAUCGAUCGUGAAGACGUACGACUACAUCAACCGCGUUGUCAUAACGCUUCCGCUUUCGGUCUACGAGGGUACAUGGACAACACUCUCCCCUCUCGUUGCUAUGCAUCACCAUGAUCUUGCAUGUGCGUAGGAAAUUUUUGAAAUUACUACGUUCCCCAACAGUGAUAUCAGAGCCAGGUUUAUGCGUAGAUGUUAUAUGCACGAGUAGAACACAAGUGAGUUGUGAGCGAUACUAGUCAUACUUCUUACCAGCAUGUCAUACUUUGAUUCGGCAGUAUUGUUGGAUGAAGUGGCUCGGACCAACAUUACGCGUACGCUUACGCGAGACUGGUUCUACCGACGUGCUUCGCACACAGGUGGCUGGCGGGUGUCAGUUUCUCCUACUUUAGUUGAAUCGAGUGUGGCUACGCUCGGUCCUUGUUGAAGGUUAAAACAACACAUACUUGACGAAAUAUCGUUGUGGUUUUGAUGCAUAGGUAAGAACGGCUCUUGCUCAGCCUGUAGCAGCCAUGUAAAACCUGCAACAAGAAAGUAGAGGACGUCUAACUUGUUUUUGCAGGGCAUGUUGUGAUGUGAUAUGGUCAAGACAUGAUGCUAAAUUUUAUUGUAUGAAAUGAUCAUGUUUUAUAACGGAGUUACCGACAACUGGCAGGAGCCAUAUGGUUGUCGCUUUAUUGUAUGAAAUGCAAUCGCCAUGUAAUUGCUUUACUUUAUCACUAAGUGGUAGCGAUAGUCGUAGAAACAAUAGUUGGCGAGUCGACAACGAUGCUAUGAUGGAGAUCAAGGUGUCGCGCCGGUGACGAUGGUGAUCAUGACGGUGCUUUGGAGACUGAGAUCAAAGGCACAAGAUGAUGAUGGCCAUAUCAUAUCACUUAUAUUGAUUGCAUGUGAUGUUUAUCCUUUAUGCAUCUUAUUUUUCUUAGUUCGACGGUAGCAUUAUAAUAUGAUAUCUCACUAAAUUUCAAGGUACAAGUGUUCUUCCUGAGUAUGCACCGUUGCGACAGUUCUUCAUGCUGAGACACCACGUGAUGAUUGGGUGUGAUAAGCUCUACAUUCACAUACAACGGGUGUAAGCCAGUUUUGCACACGCAGAAUACUCGGGUUAAACUUGACGUGCCUAGCAUAUGCAGAUAUGGCCUCGGAACACUGGAGACCGAAAGGUCGAGCGUGAAUCAUAUAGAAGAUAUGAUCAACAUAGUGAUGUUCACCAUUGAAAACUACUCCAUCUCACGUGAUGAUCGGACAUGGUUUAGUUGAUAUGGAUCACGUGAUCACUUAGAUGAUUAGAGGGAUGUCUAUCUAAGUGGGAGUUCUUAAGUAAUAUGAUUAAUUGAACUUUAAUUUAUCAUGAACUUAGUCCUGGUAGUAUUAAUUAGCAUAUCUAUGUUGUAGAUCAAUAGCUCGCGUUUAGCUCCCCUGUUUUAUUUUUGAUAUGUUCCUAGAGAAAACUAAGUUGAAAGAUGUUAGUGGCAAUGAUGCGGAUUGGAUCCGUGAUCUAAGGAUUAUCCUCAUUGCUGCACAGAAGAAUUAUAUCCUUGAUGCACCGCUAGGUGACAAACCAAUUGCAGGAGCAAAUGUAGGCAUUAUGAAUGUUUGGCAAGCUUGAUAUGAUGACUACUUGAUAGUUUAGUGCACCAUGCUUUACGGCUUAGAAUCGGGGCUUCAAAGACGUUUUUGAAACGCCACGGAGCAUAUGAGAUGUUCCAAGAGUUGAAAUUAGUAUUUCGGACUCAUGCCCAUGUCGAAAGGUAUGAGACCUUUGACAAGUACUUUGCCCACAAGAUGGAGGAGAAUAGCUUAGCUAGUGAGCAUGUGCUCAGAAUGUCUGAGUACUACAAUCACUUGAAUCAACUGGGAGUUAAUCUUCCAGAUAAGAUAGUGAUUGAUAGAGUUCUCUAGUCACUAUCACCAAGUUACUAGAACUUCGUGAUGAACUAUAAUAUGCAAGGGAUAACGGAAACGAUUCCCAAGCUCUUCAUGAUGCUAAAAUCGACGAAGGUAGAAAUCAAGAAAAGCAUCAAGUGUUGAUGGUUGACAAGACCACUAGUUUCAAGAAAAGGGCAAAGGGAAGAAGGGGAACUUCAAAAAGAAUGGAAAGCAAGUUGCUGCUCCCGUAAAGAAGCCCAAAGCUAGACCCAAGCCUGAAACUGAGUGCUUCUACUGCAAAGGAAAUGGUCACUGGAAGUGGAACUUGCCCUAGAUACUUGGCGGAUAAGAAGGAUGGCAAAGUGAACAAAGGUAUAUUGGAUAUACAUGUUAUUGAUGUGUACUUUACUAGUGUUUAUAGCAACCCCUCGGCAUUUGAUACUGGUUCAGUUGCUAAGAGUAGUAACUCAAAAUGGGAUUUGCAGAAUGAACAAAAACUAGUUAAGGGCGAGGUGAUGAUGUGUGUUGGAAGUAGUUCCAAGAUUGAUACGAUCAUCAUCGCACACUCCCUAUACUUUCGGGAUUAGUGUUGAACCUAAAUAAGUCUUAUUUGGUGUUUGCGUUGAGCAUGAAUAUGAUUUGAUCAUGUUUAUUUCAAUACAGUUAUUCAUUUAAGUUAGAGAAUAAUUGUUGUUCUAUAUACAUGAAUAAAACCUUCUAUGGUCAUACACCCAAUGAAAAUGGUUUGUUGGAUCUCGAUCGUAGUAAUACACAUUUUCAUAAUAUUGAAGCCAAAAGAUGUAAAAUUAAUAAUGAUAGUGCAACUUAUUUGUGGCACUGCCAUUUAGGUUAUAUUGGUGUAAGGCACAUGAAGAAACUCCAUGCUGAUGGGAUUUUGGAAUCACUUGAUUAUGAAUCACUUGAUGCUUGCGAACCAUGCCUUAUGGGAAAGAUGACUAAGACGCCGUUCUCCGGAACAAUGGAGCGAGCAACUGACUUAUUGGAAAUAAUACAUACUGAUGUAUGUGAUCCGAUGAGUGUUGAGGCUCGCGGUGGGUAUCGCUAUUUUCUGACCUUCACAGAUGAUUUGAGCAGAUAUGGGUAUAUCUACUUGAUGAAACAUAAUUCUGAAACAUUUGAAAACUUCAUAUAAUUUCAGAGUGAAGUGGAAAAUCAUCGUAACAAGAAAAUAAAGUUUCUACGAUCUGAUGGUGGAGGAGAAUAUUUGAGUUACGAGUUUGGUCUUCAUUUGAAACAAUGCGGAAUAGUUUCACAACUCACGCCACCUGGAACACCACAGCGUAAUGGUGUGUUUGAACAUCAUAACCGUACUUUAUUAGAUAUGGUGCAAUCUAUGAUGUCUCUUACCGAUUUACCACUAUCAUUUUGGGGUUAUGCAUUAGAGACAGCUGCAUUCACGUUAAAUAGGGCACCAUCUAAAUCUGUUGAGACGACACCAUAUGAACUGUGGUUUGGCAAGAAACCAAAGUUGUCGUUUCUUAAAGUUUGGGGUUGCGAUGCUUAUGUGAAAAAGUUUCAUCCUGAUAAGCUCAAACCCAAAUCGGAAAAAUGUAUCUUCAUAGGAUACCCAAAGGAUACAGUUGGGUACACCUUCUAUCACAGAUCCGAAGGCAAGACAUUCGUUGCUAAGAAUGGAUCUUUUCUAGAGAAGAAGUUUCUCUCAUAAGAAGUGAGUGGGACACUACUAGGGAAAACCUUAUACACAGAAUCUUACUAGUAGCGCUUGUUAAAAUGAGGCGCUACUGCUACUUAGCAGUAGCGCGUCGGCUAAAACGGCGCUACUGUUACCCGCUUAGCAGUAGCACGGCAGGAACAGAACAUGCUACUACUAUAAUUGCCACACCGUUCCCGACGUGCUAGGUAUAGUAGUAGUGCCCUUCUAAAAACAGCGCUACUACUACGGAUUUUAGCAGCAGCGCGUUUUGCCUCCCCACACUACUGUUAAACCUAUUUUCACCUAACCCCCCGCGCGGCCUGAUUCCCUCUCCUCUGCUUCCUCCCCCAAUUCCCCACUCUCUCUUCUCCCCCUCGUUGCCUCCGCUGGAGCCCCUCCCCUCGCCCUCACCGGAGGCCCUGCCCUUGCUCUCCGCCGGAGUCUGCCCCUCGACAUCAUCGCGCGCCUGUGCCUCCUCCUCCUCGACGACCUCGACCUUGCCGGAGCCCCUGCCCUCGCUCUCCGACGCCGUCUCCCCCGACCCCACCUCGCCGUCUCCCCCGACCCCGCCUCACCAUGCCUCGGUGCCGCCGUCUCCCCCGACCCCAUUUCUCUCCCCGCCCUCUGUAAGCAUUCUCCCCUUCCGAUCCCUCUUCUCUGCUUAGUAUGAACCCUAGCUAUUUAGUGCUAGUUAGUAUGAACCCUAGGCUAUUUUUAGUGCUAGUUAGUUAAUUACAAUUAGUAUUAGCUCUAUUUAAUUAGGUAGUAUGAACCCUAGUUAAAAAAUGGAUACUUAUAUGGUAAUUAGGGCAGUAGUUCCUAGGUACUAAUUAGUUAGUAAGAACUAGGUACUAAUUAGGUACUAGUUUAUUUUUAUUUAUAGUAAGUUUAUUUUUAGUAAGAACUAAUUGAAUUAAUAGAACUAGUUAGUAAGAACUUGUUGCUAUUUUUUUAGUUAAAGCAAUUUUCCCCGCAUCGAUGUGGACGAUGCCUAUCCCGCAUCCUCGUCGUCGAGUCGGCGGAGGACGAUACCUGCUUGACCAGACGGGCCAUGUCUGGGACUGGGCUCCGCCGAGGUGGUACUGGGAGGUGCUACAUACCGGGGGGCACAUGUUGGUGAGGAGCCAGCCUGUCGUUGACCCGAACCUUCUUUGGCGGCAGUCACGUGGGCCAGUGAUGGUCCAGAGGCUCGAGGACCCCGCGGAGGUGGUGCAUCACCGUGUUAGUGAGGAGGACGCGCACGUCCGUCGCUACUUGUUUGCGUUGGAGCACAUGUUCUCCAAUACCUGGCAGGUUCUCCAGGGAUCUCACUGGAGCUAUGAUCCCGUGAUGGUUCCUUCUCUGUGGGUGUCCACCGCCCGCGCUGAUACCCGUCGUGUGCUAGGGUUUUAGUUGUAUUAGCGAUGUUAUAUGUAUGACACUAUUCGGGAUGUAUUAGUGAUAAUAUUCGACGAUGUACGGACGCAUGAGAUGAUUUACUUUUGCUUAUUGAAUGCAUGCUAAUUUGAGUCCUAUAAGAUAUUUUGAAAUGUAUAUCUUGUGUUGCUCAAAUAGGAUAUGUGCUUGCCCAAGUGGCCGGUCAUGUUUGCAGGUUACACCUCCGAGUGGCCUAUGUUUUGCCAGAGUGUUGAUUCAUUUCCGUUCCGGCAAAUUUCAGGCGCUCGAUAUGUCCUAUUUUAGCAAAGGUCAUGCCGGAUUUUUCCGUGAAUUUGGGCAUGACUUGUGCCAGAAUAUGUAGGAAAUAUCGAGUGCCCCGGAUUUGUGUGUUGAGUAUCCUGAUAGUUGUCUUCGAUCGAUUUUCAAUUAAUAUUUCAACUAUGAACAUAGGAAAUGUCUGACGACGAAAAGGAUUUCGGUACUUGCAAAUACUGCAAAGACGAGCGCGGCCUGUGCGACGGAAUCUUCCUAGAUGAUGAUAGGCGCUUCAGCAUCAAGCUGGACGAGAACUUCGAAGUGGAUACAGUAAGUCACAACGACAAGUUUUUUUCGUAAUUAAGCAUGACAUAUGCUUCAUUUGCUUGAACUUAUAAUUUAUUUAUUUUUACUAUUCUACUAGCGUAUCCCCUGCCAUGCAAGAGUUUUUGUAUUAGAUAAGAUAGGUUUUAGUCGUACUAUGGAGGUAAAGAAAUUUUACUUGAAGACCGAGCAUGGUUAUAUUUUCAAUGUAAAAUUAUACAAUUCAGACGACUACACCUAUUUUGGAUGCAAAACAUGGCGAGCAUUAUGAAAGACUUAUGCAUUUGAGCCUGAUAUGGUUAUCACCUUUGAUAUUUGUCCGGAAGAUGAUAUUGAAGGUAAUACCGACAUCUGGGUCGAUGUGCAGACGCCUCCAGUUAUACUAUUAUGUAAAUUUCUCAACCAUAUUUAUGUCUUUGAUAUUGUUUAUUCAAAAAUAGUUGACAACUAAUUUGUAUUGUCAGCUUAUUUCGGUGCAAGCAAACAUGUCCAGCGCUUGGUAGACAGGACCGUAUACUGUGCCGGGGCUGAACUCAACUGCGAGGAGCUCAGUCAUUAUGUUUCAUGGCUUGCGGAUCUUGAUACUGUCAAGACAAAUUUUCUUCCUGCAUUUAGAAAUGCUAGUACUGAAAACGUGUGACCAAUAAUAUUCGUAAUGAACUACGGUCACAUCUAUUUAGGAAGGAUGGUAAGAUUUUUACUAUUUAUCCUCAGUGCAUAUUUUCCAUACAUUAUUUUUGAAGCCAAACUUCAUUGCUAAGUAUGUUACCGUACGAUGUUCUUCAACAGGGACUCCCAAUAAAUGUUGUGCCUUAUGGAAUCGAGACUAAAGGUACCAUGAGUAUUAUUAGCUUACGACCAAGAUACCCUACAGAUUACUUUAGUGCAUUCAAGAUUAGCGACGGAUUCUUAAUAGUGCAAGACUGGACCAAAUAUGUGACGGGGGAGCGCAAAGAAGUACUAGGGGGGAGCAAACAGAUGCGCUACCCACAAUUAGGAGACAGGUUCAUCUGCAUGCUCCAACUUGAUAAAUGAGGAGAGCUAUACAUGUUUUAUGUUAUUUUACCUACGAGAGAGCACCAUGAGUGAUUAGCUAGCUAGAAAUGAGUUUGAAGAUGAUGAUGUGCUACACUAUUACUAUGAUGAUAAAAUAGCUAGUGUUGGUGGUAAUGACUAUGAUGAUUAUUAUUAGCUAGUGUUAGUGGUGAUUAAAUAAAUACUGUUGGUGGUAAUGCCUAUGAUGAUGAUUAAAUAGCCUGUGCUGGCGGAUUAGAUUCAAGUGGAGGCAACAUGUGGUGCACAUCGAAAGUACUACUAGUCCAAACUAGAUCAAGUUUGGAUUAGUAGUAUACUUUUGACAUGCACCACAUAUUGCGUCCACUUGAACCUAAUCCACCUUCAUUUGACACACUAUUAUGGACAUAAUGAUGUAAACCUCAUAACUGGUAUUGUACCAAUAUUUGUACGAUGGAGCAUAAAUACACUAAAAAUAAAAAAUAAAAAAAGAAUACUAGUAGUGAUGGAGAGAAAACACGCUGCCACUAGUUACAUUAGCAGUAGCGUUGGAGUGAACAAACGAUGCAGCUAUUUGUCCUAGCAGUAGCGUGUGCGGGCACGCGUUACUGCUAAGCAAUAGCUGUAGCGCCUUAUUAGUAGCGCGCCUACCCGCGCUACUAGUGAGCACAAAACCAGCGCUACUGCUAGGGUUUUCCCUAGUAGUUUGAGGAAAGUAGAACUUGAUGAGGUAGCUGUACCUGCUCCCUUAUUGGAAAGUAGUUCAUCACAGAAAUCUGUUCCUGUGACUCCUACACCAAUUAGUGAGGAAGCUAAUGAUGAUGAUCAUGUAACUUUAGAUCAAGUUACUACUGAACCUCGUUGGUCAAUCAGAGUGAGAUCCACACCAGAGUGGUACGGUAAUCCUAUUCUGAAGAUCAUGUUACUUGACCAUGACGAACCUACGAACUAUGAGGAAGCGAUGAUGAGCCCAGAUUCCGCGAAAUGGCUUGAGACCAUGAAGUCUGAGAUGGGAUCCAUGUAUGUGAACAAAGUGUGGACUUUGGUUGACUUGCCCGAUGGUUGGCAAGCCAUAGAAAAUAAAUGGAUCUUCAAGAGGAAGACGAAUGCUGAUAGUAGUGUUACUAUCUACAAAGCUAGACUUGUCAAAAAAGGUUUUGACAAAGUUUAAGGUGUUGACUACGAUAAGAUUUUCUCACUCGUAGCGAUGCUUAAGUCUGUCCGAAUCAUGUUAGCAAAUUGCCACAUUUUAUGAAAUCUGGCAAAUGGAUGUCAAAACUACAUUCCUUAAUGAAUUUCUUAUAGAAGAGUUGUAUAUGAUGCAACCAGAAGGUUUUGUCGAUCCUAAAGGUGCUAACAAAAUGUGCAAGCUCCAGCGAUUCAUCUAUGGACUGGUGCAAGCAUCUCGGAGUUGGAAUAUAUGCUUUGAUGAGUUGAUCAAAGCAUAUAGUUUUAUUCAGACUUGCGGUGAAGCCCGUAUUUACAAAAAAGUGAGUGGGAGCACUACAACAUUUCUGAUAAAUAUAUGUAAAUGACAUAUUGUUGAUCGGAAAUAAUGUAGAAUUUUCUGGAAAGCAUAAAUGAGUAUUUGAAAGGAGUUUUUCAAAGAAAGACCUCGGUGAAGCUGCUUACAUCAAGAUCUAUAGAGAUAGAUCAAGAGGCUUGAUAAGUUUUUUCAAUGAGUACAUACACUAGUAGAAAAAGGGCCUUUCGUCCCGGUUCGUAAGGGCCUUUAGUCCCGGUUCUGGAACCGGGACUAAUAGGUCGUUACUAAUGCCCUUGGCCUUUAGUCCCGGUUCUUACAUGAACCGGGACAUAUGGGCCUCCAUGUGGCCGGUGCGGCGAGCCCAGGCAGGAGGCCCUUUGGUCCUAGUUGGUGGCACCAACCGGGACCAAUAGGCAUCCACGCGUCAGCAUUUCAGGUGCUGGUUUUUUUUGAAAGGGGGGGGGGGGUAGGGGGUUUUGGGGGGUUAAUUUAGGUGUUUCAUAUAUUGUGUUAGCUAGCUAAUUAAUACAGAGAAGUGUCCUCUCUUAUCUCCGUGUUUGGUCGACGCUACGUACUAUACGUAUAGAGAGGACUAGACACGCUAGCUAGUAAGCAAAUGAAGGAAACAAAAGAUCGUCAUGAACAUAUGCAUACAGAGAGAAGUGAUAUCGACCACCUCUCCUUCUCUGAGAGAUUGGUCGAACAACAAGUUCUCGUAUAUCUAUCCGACGCUACUGGCUACAUAUAUACAAUAUAAGUAUCUCUUACAAUAUAAUCUCCUAAUUAAAAACGAACUGAUCAGGGUCCACAUGGUAUUCUCCGUCUUUAGCGAUCACGUGGUCAAGAAAGAAUGCCGUCAAUUCCUCUUGAAUUCCUCACAUACAAUCUGGUGGUAGGAGUUCAUCCUGCAUCUGAAAUAUCUAAUUUGAAGAAGGUCAAUACAUAUAUAUGAAUAAAUGAAACUAAACACAAAUUAUGGUAAUAAAAUAAAAUUGUGAAUAUUAUUCUUUACGCACUUCAUAUUGUUUGUCGGAGUAGCCCCGCUCACAGGUCGUGUGGCAGAUGGACUCGCAAAUGUAGUAUCCACAGUAAUUAUUCCCUUGUUACUGCCACAACCACUUUACAAGAAAUAGAGGUUAAUCAAACUGAUAAUUAAUUAGCAAGCAUGCUAAAUGGUAUUGAUGACAUUAGCGCUUGAAUCACUAGGAGAUGCGUGGAACAUAUAUUCUACUAUAGUACUUACUUUCGGGUGUCUAAAUUGCAGCUUCUUCGGCGGUCCCAGAGUUUUUGAGGUGAAUUUAUUCCAAACCCUGCCAGACAAAGAAAACAAUUACUUGAUAUCAGGAAAUGAACAAAUUGAAGUUUCCCAUAUGGUGCGAUAAUGAUCGAUUUAACUUACUUCCCUAGAAUUGCAGUCAUGUCCGCAUACUCCUUGGGAUCUUUUCAUCUCGAGUCUAAGACGGUUACUAGUCCCUGCUCAAGCUUAAUCUCUAGGAGAAUAUAGUGGAAGCUGCGCACGCAUGCAUAAAUCAUCAAUUACAUUACUAUAACCUCGACUAAUAAGGGAAACCGAAUAUGCACAAGACAGUAACACCCACUUGAAUUCGUAAGGGAAGAGUAUUAUAGCUUUGUUUUCAUUUAAUACAAACGAUUGUAGCAGCUUGGCCUCGGUAUCUUUGGCCUGAAAUUAACCAUAUAUGCAUCUAUGAGAUUUGUGUUAAUGAACCCAAUAUCACCGAUUUAUCUUUUCUUCAAUUCGGCGAUCUUCAAUCUGCAUAAUAUAGUGAGGAUAAUUAAAAAUACAUGCAAUGAAAGAGCUGACCUAUAUAUAAAGACUUAAUGACAGAAGUAGUACUACUUACAGGCAGUAGCAAGUGAUCAUUAACUUAUCGAGGGCCUUUAGAUUGAAAAACUCGAAGAACUCCUCAAAUGGAACAUUCAACAGUUCAAUUCCAACGAGGUCAUGCUCCUCUCUAACUCUCAGCAUCAAAAUAUUACUCCCCUCAGACUCUUUGCGGGUUUUCAUAUACCAAUCAUGGAAUCUUCACAUCAUCGUUGUUAGAGAUCUUUCAUCUUUGACGAGAGGCUUCCCGUACACGUAUUUGUGUUCGUCCACCUCCAAGAAAUUGAAAUGUGCAUCGUCGAGCAGGUAAUCUCCAAGAUUGUUAUAACGAGGCACCAUUGUCCCGCCCGGAUGAUUCGCGACGAUGCUAGACACCUGGAGCGGGGGCAACGAUUGGUUCGCUUGUUCGCCGAGCUGGGCAACUUUUUUCCCAGCUCGUCGUUCUGCUAACCUUUGACCACUGACAGUACUUCUCGACCGCUCCGCUUCGAUAAAUGACUUUGUAAGAAUACGCUCAUAGUUUUCUUUCACUGGAGACUUUGGUGGUUUCAUCAGGGCAGCCAGAGUACGCUUGCUUUUACCGGAUCUAUCUUCUCCUCCGGAGGUGGAUUUUUCUUUGCUUUCACCCCUUCAAAGAAGUUGGUCACUUCGGCUUGCACGAUCUUUGCGUUUUCCUCCUGGCUCCUCUCGUAUGGUAACUUCUCUGGAGUCUUCAGAGAAGGAUCGUAUCUGUAUUGCCUGCCUCUGGCUGUACUACUAGACGCCGGAGCAGACGAAGCGACUGCGGCUGUCUUUCCUUUCUUACGAGGCGGAGGAGAAGGACGACGCGCCGGAGCAGCCGGAGCGGCGACGGUUCUCUUCUGCCCUUGUUAAUGAGGCGGAGAAGGAGGAGGCUGGCUGCUCGGGCGCGCCGGCGCAGGCGCAGAAGGAGGCGGAGUGCCGCCACGCGCCGGAGAAGGAGGUUGAGUGCCCUGAUCACUCGCCGGAGGAGGCGGAGUGCCCUGACAAGCCGGAGGAGGAGGAGGAGGAGGUAGAGGCAUCCAGUUCGGAAGGUUGAUGAGCUCCUUCCGCCAUAGGCAUGGAGUAUUCAGAGAAGAACCCAGCGGAAUCUCCCCUUCACCUGUAGGGUGGUCAAGCUCAAGGUCCUCAAAUCCGUCCGUUAUUUGAUCCACCAUCACCCUAGCAUAUCCUUCUGGAAGCGACCGGCCAUGGUAGGUUGUGCCAGGUCUAGUAGGUAAAACAGAGCCAACAGCCGCCUUCACUUUCAAUGGCAUCCAUCGUGCCAUAAGGUGGCAAUGUUGAGACUCCAUGAUACCAUCCACAGGGUAGCUAGAAGGAGCCGUGAAGACAGGCUCCAGCUGUUGAGUCUGCUCGGUGGAAGCCACACUGCUUCUCUGCUGAGAUGGCGGGGUAGCUUCAAGGGUAGCUUCGGCAGGUCGUUUGCUGCGAUGUGCUUCUCGUUCCUCUAGCCCUUGUACCCUUUCAUGCAGCGCCUGCAGUUGGCUAUGCUCCACUUUCUUCCUCCUCUCCUGGCUUUUGUAACCCCCUGCGUUCGGAAACCCAGCCUUCCACGGAAUGGAGCCUGGCAUGCCUCGUGUCCGUCCAGGGUGCUCAGGAUUCCCGAGGGCCAUUGUGAGCUCGUCCUUCUCUCUGUCUGGAACGAACGUCCCUUGCUGCGCUUUCUCGAUAUACUCCUGAAGCCUCCUGACGGGUAUUCGCAGUUGCUCUUCCGUCCAAACGCACUUCCCUGAUACAGGGUCCAAGGUUCCGCCAACCUCGAAGAACCAAGUCUGGCAACGGUCUGGCCAGUUCAUUGUCUCUGGUUCAACCCCUUUAGCAAUCAGGUCAUUCUCAGCCUUGUCCCACAAAGGUCGGGCUUUGAGGUAGCCACCUGACCCCGUGCAAUGGUGAUGCUUCUUCUUCGCAGCAUUUAUCUUGUUUGUCGCCGACAUCUUCUUACUCUUUUCCGAUGUCUUGUGGGCCACAAAUGCGGGCCAGUGAUCUCUGAUCUUCUCAUACUUUCCGAUGAAUUCUGGUGUCUUUUCUUUGUCGACAAAAUCUGUUUUCAGCUCAUUCUUCCACCUCCUGAAUAGUUCUGCCAUCUUCUUAAGAGCAUGAGACUUUAUCAAUUGCUCUUUAACUGGCUUCUCCGGAUCCUCCUCUGGCGGUAGGGUGAAAUUUUCCUUAAGCGUUGUCCAAAGAUCUUCUUUCUGCAUAUCGGAGACAUAAGACACCUCAGGGUCUUCUUUCUUUGGCUUUAACCAUUGGUGGAUACUGAUCGGGAUCUUGUCCCUAACAAGAACCCCGCACUGAGCACGAAAUGCAUCCCUUGUCCGGAUGGGUUCAAUCGGCUUGCCAUCGCGUGCGAUUGCUGUGAUCUCAAACCUUUCAUCCGAGUGCAACUUUUUCUUAGGGCCUCGUUUCUUUACCGAAGUUGAGCUCGAUCCGGAGGGCUAGAGAAAAGAAGAAAGACGAGAGUUAAUUCAUAUGUAUACAUAUGAAAACAAUGAAUGCAUCAAUUAGCUAGUCAGCAUGGGCUUAACUAAUAUAUAUAUAUACCUGGCUGGACUCGGUUCAGUCACCGGAGCCAUCAUCACGGUCUCCUUCUUGUACCUCCAUUGGGUCACUGGAGCCAUCAUAAUCAUAGCCCUCUUCUUGUAUCGGCAUUAAUGGGUCACCAGAGCCAUCAUGAUCAUAGCCUUCUUCACUACCCCGUCAUUCCAGACCAUCGGUGUCGUUGAGAAACAACACAACGACAUCACUUCCUUUUGCGAUUAUGUCCCCCAACAUCGGUUCUGUUGCUUCGUCUCGGGGGUGCUCCAUAGUUUCUGCAAAUAUUUACAACAUGUCAAUUAUUAUUCAAACAUGACAUAUGGAUAUAUAUUAGUGGCAAACGUAGAACUAGCUAGCUAAUCACAAUAAGGAAUCAUAUUAGUGUCCUCGACGCUGCUUCUCUAGGGUUUGGGGUGGCCUCGACAACGCUUCAAGGGUUUGGGGUGGCCUCGACACAACGCUUCAAGGGUUUGGGGUGGCCUCGACGACAACGCUCUUUUAACUUGGUAAAUUUGGGUGGCCUCGAGAGAGUUUGUCGGGUAGGGGCACGGCGGGAGGGGGUAGGAGACCAACAUCAUUUUUUCUCUAGGGUUUGGGUGUCCUCNNNNNNNNNNNNNNNNNNNNNNNNNNNNNNNNNNNNNNNNNNNNNNNNNNNNNNNNNNNNNNNNNNNNNNNNNNNNNNNNNNNNNNNNNNNNNNNNNNNNNNNNNNNNNNNNNNNNNNNNNNNNNNNNNNNNNNNNNNNNNNNNNNNNNNNNNNNNNNNNNNNNNNNNNNNNNNNNNNNNNNNNNNNNNNNNNNNNNNNNNNNNNNNNNNNNNNNNNNNNNNNNNNNNNNNNNNNCCGUGGUAUAAGUUAUCACGGUCGAGAGGGUGACCCUCGACCCUCUGCUGUAGUUCCCGACCCUCAACCCUCUGCCCUAGUUCGCGAUAAAAAAAAAGAAGAAAAAAAAGAGGAGAAGAAGAAGGAAUAGAGGAGUAGAAGAAAAAAGUCUUCCACUCCUCUAUUCCUUCUUCUUCUCCUCUUUUAUUUCUUCUUCUUCCUCU
rnacentral:lncRNA from 1 species